rnacentral:lncRNA from 1 species
AAAUCAUUUUAAAGCAUAUAUGCUUAAAAAUAUUCAACAUCUUGAAAAUAACAAUACAUGCAUUGUCAAGUGCCAAUAUAAAUAUUGUUGACGAUGCAUUGGGUAUCAUCACCCUUCAACAUCAACAUCGCACUGACCGAACUGAUAAAUCCAUUCUCAUGUGAAAAUGAAGUGGCAAGAUGCCCACACUAGGAGAAAAUAUCUAGUAGUACGUACUACUACGAGUAGCGUGCACACACAGCCGUUACCUUAGAGGUACAGCACAAGAGUGGCAAUUGCACAUUGAUCCUUAUUCCCAAUUUUUACCAUCUUCAGACCAGAACACUAUGCCCAACAGGUACUGACAAUUAACAUACACCUUCCCUUCGCCCCCCUCACAUUACUACGAAUUUACAAGCAAGCAUGUAUCACUCUUUGGGUUUGUUGCUGUCAGGGGCGGCGGUCGCUUCGGGUUGAGGUGGUGCGCCGGCGACGUCGCCGGUCAUCAUCUUCUUGAACUCGUCGAAGCCGACGCAGCCGUCGCCGUCGACGUCGACGGAGGCGAUCAUCUUCUCGCAGUCCUCGGUGCUGCACCCCUCGCCGAUGCGGCUGAGGACCUUGCUGAGCUCGGCGACGGAGAUGCGGCCGUCGCCGUUGAUGUCGUAGAUGUCGAAGGCGUCGCGCAGCUCGGCGUCCAGCUCGCGCUCCCCGCGGCCGCGGCCGUGGAAGGCGGCGAACUCGCCGAGGUCCACGUAGCCGUCGCGGUCGGUGUCGAGCUCGUCCAUCAUGGACGCCACCUCCCGCCCCUGCGCGGACUCGGUGGCCGGCGGCGCGAUGGCGCGGGAGACGGCCGCCAGCUCCGACGGCGAGAUCCGGCCGUCGCCGUCCGUGUCGAAGCGGGAGAAGACCUUCUUGAUCUCGAUGUCCUCCGCCGCCGCCGGCUUCUUCGCCUGCUGCUGCUGCUGCUGCUUCCCGCCGCCGCUCGACAUGGCCCAAGACUUGAGACUCGACGGUCGCGGCGAGCUAGCUGAGCUUCAAAGCUUGAGGUGGCUGGUUGUAGUGAUGGAGAUGGGGGAGCUUGAACUUGAAUGUUCCGAUGGGUGGAGGUUGCAGUGGGCUCUCUCUGGGGUAUUAAUACCGGCGGGCACGCGCUACGGACGACGGAGCGCACCGACCAUCCUCCCUCCUUCGGGAUAAAGAAGUGGAGGAGUAACUCCGCCGCGGGGAGGCGGAGUCAUAUCAGUACGCGGCGAGCGCGUUGUCUUCUCUUCUCCCGGUUGCGUGGGGCGGCGCGUCGGCCAGGCGUGGCUUCGCGGCGAUGGGCAAGCGUACGGCCGGAUGCGCGCGAUGCGAAUCUCGGGGCUGAGGGAGGACUUUUCCGCGUCCCGCCGGGCGGGCAGCUUCCUCGGUGCUCGAGAGAAGUCAGCAGCUCGCGUGAAUCACCGGCCACGUCUGCGUCUGUCGCGGGCCGGUUUAUUUAUUCCUUUGCCGGCCUGGUUCGUGGAACUUGUCGCCGUGAGCGGCUACGGUGUGUGGCCGAGGGAUGGACACAUGACGCGGCGGGCGUGGACGGAGCGAAGUAUCCCCACCCAUGUGAGGUCGUCGUUGCUCGCGGCGUCCCAUCCUUUGCCUUCUUGGCGUGUAACUUUUCAGAAUAAAGCUUCACUUUUCACAACAAAGGUUCGUGCAGGGUAUCAUGGCCACCACUCGCUUUUUCACUGCGCUCGUGAUUUUAUUAGUGUGGGGGUACAUAUAGGUUAAUUUACGGAAAUACUGUCUGGCGAACGUUCGCUGGGACCCAACCCUGGCGAACGCUCUCUCCGCCGUUGCACGGAUCUUGACGCGCCCCCUGGUCCUAUAGGAUUGCUAAAGUCGUUCGCUAUCAGCUGACCCCUGGCGGACGUGCUUUGCUCUUUCCAAAAAUUACAAGGCCGUGCGACCCCCGUGGCAUGAAGGGUGUGCACACUCAAAAAAAUAUCUGCACAAUCCAAAUGUCAUAAUAUGAUACUAGGCAAAAGCAUAACAUAAAUAGGCCAAUCAAGUCUCACAACAAAGCGGCAGCGGCAGCGGAGGGGAGGGGAGCGAUGUCGCGAUGGCGUGCACCUAUUGGGCCCUUGAGGGGAGGGGGCAGCGGCGACAAGAGGAAGGGUGUGGCGGCGAGGUGAGGGGAGGGUCUAGUUGAAUGGUGGACGGCCGAUUAAUGUCACCCUCUCUUACAUAGUGGGAGAAAAAUAGACAGUGCGAGAUAUUGGGUUUUUAGGACUGUAGGUUUAUUGGCCGAAAUAGCCAAAUUACAAAUUCUGGGUGAGCCACGACUCACCGGCCCGUCAAUGGUACUAACCCCGUGAUGUACCCACAUAUUUUUUUUUCGAGAAUGAGAUGAACUCACAUAUCAUAAUCCUUGUGUGUCACACGGUCCAAUAAGCCACACAGUGAAUCGUGCUAAAUUGGGAUUGAACCGGCAACUCCUUCCUAGUGGGCGGUCGGCUUACCACUAGACUAUAAAUAGAGUGUUGUCAACAUUUUGCGACCAAAACUCUUUAUAUGUUUUCUAAACUAAAUUUGUCCACAAAUUCAACUUUUAAUUUUAAAAAGUUUGAAAAUCCGAAUUUUUUACAAUUUUAAAGAACAAAAAUCCCUUUUUCAAAGGGAAUUUUUUUCUAUCUUUCCACCUGCAUUUUUUAUUUAUAGGUACCAUGCCACUUUUAUUAUAGGCCACAUGGAAGUUUUUUAUUAAUAAGAAAUUUGUAAUUUAAUAAGUAACAAGAUGCCAUUUUUACCAUUAAGAGGAUGGAUUUUAUUAUUAAGAGCAUGUCAUUUUAUUAUUAAUAACAUGGCAUUUUUAUUACUAGAAAUAUAGCAUUUUCAUUAUUAAUUAGAUGUUAGUUUUAUUAUAGGGGACAUGGCAUUUUCAUUAUUUGCUGACAAGUCAUUUAUAUUAUCAGGAGGAUGGUAGUUUAAUUAUUAACAGGAUAAAAGUUUUAUUAUAUAGAGCAUGCCAUUUUUGUUAUUAUUAACAUGACAUUUUUAUUAUAGGAGGAUUACAAUUUUAUUAUAUAGAGCAUACAUUUUUUAUUAUUGUUGACAUGUCAUUUUUAUUGUUAGGAGGAUGACAUUUUUUGGACUGGCAUUUUUUAUUAAUUGUUAACAGAAUGACGGUUUUAUUAUUAGGAGGACGGUGGUUUUUAUUUUUAUUGACAUGCCAUUUUUGUCCUUGAUAUGACAUUUUUUAAUAUUUUUUGCACAGUGGAACAAAUCAAGCAAAAAAUUACAUCAUGGCAUUUCUUUGGUCAUUGACAAAGAUAAAGGAAAAAAACGCUCUCGCAAACAUGUUUUUUACUGCGAAACAUCUACACGGUGGAAUUCAUACCAUUCGUAAAAUUAUAGAUUAUCAUGGCAUUUUUUGUAAAGUAACAUGCCAUUUUUCGUAUUAUUUAUAUCAUGGCAAUUAUAUAUUUUAUGUGUACUUUGUUUUUAUAAGAAAAUAUGUACUUUUUCAUUAAAAAAGGUAAUCUGGGCAUUUUGGGCCAAUGGAGGUUCGCAUUGGCCUUUCCCUAUCGACCGAUUGAGGGGAGGGCGUUACAUUCGCUGGGACUGCCCCCUUGGCGACCACUUCGUUCGAUCAACCCUCCUCCCUGGCGAUCGAAUGCCAGUUAUUUGGGUCCUUUAUUUAUAGGUAGUGUAGGGAAAAGAAUAGCAAGCGAACACUCGCAAGCCGGCAAAUAGGGGAACUGGGGAAGGAAGAACCAAUGCGAGGACGAAGAGAAAGAAGUAGGGCGGGAGAGGUAGACUAAAGGUGUAGAGCCCGGAGCUACCCGGUCCAUCUUUUUUGCGAAUUGGUUGGUCAGAAAAUUAGCGUUGAAUAGUUGCCUAGGCGUGUGUGUUUGGAUUAAGUUUUUGUAGAACUUGGGUUGGAUUAUUUGAUUACUACCACAAAGAAAAUAUUAUUUGGUCGCUAGGAAUGGAUCGUUUAUUACAAACUACAUUCUUUUCCCAGAUAAAUUGGAAAAACGACAUAUAGGCCAUACGUUUAGGACUCUUUUUUUAGGGUGUUCAACCCAAACCAGUAUUCAAAUAAAUUGAGCCCAUACUGUGAGAGUCAGUAGUUCCGGUAUAUAUGGCCCAUUAAAAAAGUACAUUUAUAUUAUCAGGAGGAUGGCAGUUUAAUUAUUAACAGGAUAAAAGUUUUAUUAUAUAGAGCAUGCCAUUUUUGUUAUUAUUGACAUGACAUUUUUAUUAUAGGAGGAUUACAAUUUUAUUAUGUAGAGCAUACAUUUUUUAUUAUUGUUGACAUGCCAUUUUUUUUGUUAGGAGGAUGACAUUUUUUGGACUGGCAUUUUUUAUUAAUUGUUAACAGAAUGAUGGUUUUAUUAUUAGGAGGACGGUGGUUUUUAUUUUUAUUGGCAUGCCAUUUUUGUCCUUGAUAUGACAUUUUUUAAUAUUUUUUGCACAGUGGAACCAAUCAAGCAAAAAAUUACAUCAUGGCAUUUUUUUGGUCAUUGACAAAGAUAAAGGAAAAAACGCUCUCGCAAACAUGUUUUUUACUGCGAAACAUCUACACGGUGGAAUUCAUACCAUUCGUAAAAUUAUAUAUUAUCAUGGCAUUUUUUGUAAAGUAACAUGCCAUUUUUCGUAUUAUUUAUAUCAUGGCAAUUAUAUAUUUUAUGUGUACUUUGUUUUUAUAAGAAAAUAUGUACUUUUUCAUGAAAAAAGGUAAUCUGGGCAUUUUGGGCCAAUGGAGGUUCGCAUUGGCCUUUCCCUAUCGACCGAUUGAGGGGAGGGCGUUACAUUCGCUGGGACUGCCCCCUUGGCGACCACUUCGUUCGAUCAACCCUCCUCCCUGGCGAUCGAAUGCCAGUUAUUUGGGUCCUUUAUUUAUAGGUAGUGUAGGGAAAAGAAUAGCAAGCGAACACUCGCAAGCCGGCAAAUAGGGGAACUGGGGAAGGAAGAACCAAUGCGAGGACGAAGAGAAAGAAGUAGGGCGGGAGAGGUAGACUAAAGGUGUAGAGCCCGGAGCUACCCGGUCCAUCUUUUUUGCGAAUUGGUUGGUCAGAAAAUUAGCGUUGAAUAGUUGCCUAGGCGUGUGUGUUUGGAUUAAGUUUUUGUAGAACUUGGGUUGGAUUAUUUGAUUACUACCACAAAGAAAAUAUUAUUUGGUCGCUAGGAAUGGAUCGUUUAUUACAAACUACAUUCUUUUCCCAGAUAAAUUGGAAAAACGACAUAUAGGCCAUACGUUUAGGACUCUUUUUUUAGGGUGUUCAACCCAAACCAGUAUUCAAAUAAAUUGAGCCCAUACUGUGAGAGUCAGUAGUUCCGGUAUAUAUGGCCCAUUAAAAAAGUACAUUUAUAUUAUCAGGAGGAUGGCAGUUUAAUUAUUAACAGGAUAAAAGUUUUAUUAUAUAGAGCAUGCCAUUUUUGUUAUUAUUGACAUGACAUUUUUAUUAUAGGAGGAUUACAAUUUUAUUAUAUAGUGCAUACAUUUUUUAUUAUUGUUGACAUGUCAUUUUUUUUGUUAGGAGGAUGACAUUUUUUGGACUGGCAUUUUUUAUUAAUUGUUAACAGAAUGAUGGUUUUAUUAUUAGGAGGACGGUGGUUUUUAUUUUUAUUGGCAUGCCAUUUUUGUCCUUGAUAUGACAUUUUUUAAUAUUUUUUGCACAGUGGAACCAAUCAAGCAAAAAAUUACAUCAUGGCAUUUUUUUGGUCAUUGACAAAGAUAAAGGAAAAAACGCUCUCGCAAACAUGUUUUUUACUGCGAAACAUCUACACGGUGGAAUUCAUACCAUUCGUAAAAUUAUAGAUUAUCAUGGCAUUUUUUGUAAAGUAACAUGCCAUUUUUCAUAUUAUUUAUAUCAUGGCAAUUAUAUAUUUUAUGUGUACUUUGUUUUUAUAAGAAAACUAUGUUCCUUUUCAUUAAAAAAGGUAAUCUGGGCAUUUUGGGCCAAUGGAGGUUCGCAUUGGCCUUUCUGUUAUGGCAUAUCUCUCUCAAGGUAGUUUUGAUGAUUGAUGAUAACAUGUUUGCGGACUAAUCAUGUGCUUUGAAUAGUUCACAGAUUCACCCCUGGCACGAGACGUUUCCUUCCCUUCAAGAUGGUGGCGGAGAAGAGGGGUGUAGCUCUUUCGUUUCUCUCUCGGUGGACUAGUUGCGUAGAGGGCACCGUACUAUCAAGAGGGGGUCCGCUGGGGUAUUGCAUGGGUGGAAUCAACACGUACACAUCAGCUUCUCACCCUCCGAGCUUUUCCAUUCCAUUGUAGAGAUUUCUCCUCUUUUCCUUGUCCUGUCUGGGUCCCAGCGAUAGUACCGUGAAACCCAGCGGUAGUACCGCUGAGGAAAAACAAGCGGCAGUACCGCUCCACAGCGGUAGUACCGCCCUUGUCUCCACAUCAGUAGCACCGCUGGGGUGCAUGGCACCACCGCCUCGUCCUCAGCCUCAUUGGAGAGAUUCUCUCUCUCUCUUCAGUGUCCCAGCGGUAGUACGACCGAAGGGUCACAAGCGGCAGUACCGCUCCACAGCGGUAGUACCGCCCGUGACCCCGCUGCCGUAGUACCGCUGGGCUGUCUGGCUCCUACCGCCUCGACUCGAGGGGUCUUUUUCUCAUGUCCGGUUUUGCGGCACUAGUUGCGGUUGUAGAGGCGGUAGUACCGUUGCAGGAGCGGUAGUACCGCCCCUACCACCGCGGUAGUACCGCGUUGGGUCCUAUUCCCUACUAGUCUCCUCUGCGCGGCAGUGCUGCUGGCUGGUGCGGCAGUACCGCUGACCUAGCGGUAGUACCGCCCCCUCUUAGCGGUAGUACCACCUUGUGCGGGGCUGGUUGGUGGGGGGCAACGGUUGGAUUGUUGCCCCCACUAUAAAAGGGAGUCCCCUUCUUCUCUUUAACCUACCUCUUCCUCCCCCAAGCUCCAUUUAUUGCUCAAGCUCCAUUAAAUGCUCCAAGCUCCAUUUUCACCCGAUCUAUCUCUCUAGCCAAUCAAACUUGUUGAUUUGCUCGGGAGUGGUUGAGAAGGCCCCGAUCUACACUUCCACCAAGGGAUUUUUGAUCCCCCCACUCAUCCCUAGCGGAUCUUGUUACUCUUGGGUGUUUGAGCACCCUAGACGGUUGAGGUCACCACGGAGCCAUAGUCCAUUGUGGUGAAGCUUCGUGGUUUUGUUGGGAGCCUCCGAUUAAGUUGUGGAGAUUGCCCCAACCUUGUUUGUAAAGGUUCGGUUGCCGCCUUCAAGGGCACCAAUAGUGGAAUCACGGCAUCUCGCAUUGUGUGAGGGCGUGAGGAGAAUACGAUGGCCGUAGUGGCUUCUUGGGGAGCAUCGUGCCUCCACACCGCACCAUUGAAAGUGGGUGAUCCCACCAACAAGGUGACGGAUGUUAUCCCCGACAAGGGGGAAGCUAGUAGUGAAAAGGCUCCAUCUUCUAGUGGUAAAAAUGGCACCGACAUCUUUGCUCAUGUGGAACCACCACUUGUUUAUGGUGGACCGGUUCCUUCUACUCAUUUGAAUCAUGCCGGUGCUCCCCCUAAGAUUGUGAAAAAUGAGGACUUUGAUUCUUGGGUUUACCGCUUUAAACGUCAUUUAAAUCAUGUGAACACUAACCUUUGGAGAAUCAUUGAAGAAGGUUUUUAUCCGCAUGAUCCAAGCAACUUCACUCCUCGAGAAGCCGCGGAUAAUCAAUUCAAUGAGAAUGCUCUCUUCAUCAUUCAAGAUGCAAUUCCACCCGAAGACCUACCUCAUCUUCGUCCCUUCGCCUUGGCCAAAGAUGCAUGUCAUUGUGUUGUCUCUCUCUACCGGGGAAGCGCAAGCAUUCAACGCUCCAACUAUGAAGUGGUGCAAGAUGAGGCCAAUGAGUUUGCUAUGAAAGAAGAUGAAGAACCUCGUGAGCUUUAUCAAAGAGUAACCAAACUCGCGGUCUCACUACGAGAUCACGGGAGCAAGGACACGGAUGACAAUUGGAUCAAGCGCAAAUUCCUCAAGGCAAUGAUGCCCUACCACAAGGCCAUGUCCUCCGUCAUUCGUCAAAGACCGGACUUCCACACUUUGACCUCAAGCGAAGUGUUGGAUGAGUUUGUGGCCAUGAACAUUUUGGACAAGACCGCCAACAAUGCGGUGCUCCAUUGUCAACGGGCAAAGAAGCCUAACCUUGCAUUGAAGGCCAAGCUCACCAUUGAAGAAGAAGAAGAGGAAGAAGAGGAGAGCAACCCCGAAGAUACGAAGUAUGCAUAUCAUGAACACAUGGCACUUGCUUCAAGGCAAUUUUGGAGCAAGAAAAACUCGAGGCCAAACUUUAGCAAAAACAACUCGAGUGGCACGAGGGGCAAGCAACGUGUAAGGACUUGCUAUAAUUGCGGCAACGUGAGUCAUUUUGUUGCGGAAUGCCCGUAUGAGAAAAGGGAAGACAAUGGUGGCAAGCUCAUCCGAAAGGACAAGGUCAAGUCAUUCCCCAACAAGAACAACUUCACCAAGAAGACUCCUCCCAAGGCAUUGGUUGUACAAGAAUAGUACAAUGAGGAUGAUGACAAUGAUGAAGAUGAUGAGUCGAUUGCCAUGGCCUCCGUUUCCAUUGCGGCGACUUCACGGGUGUCUCUCUUCGACUCACCCAAUGAGAGCAUCACCGCCAAGUGCCUCAUGGCUAAAGCCACCAACAAGGUAACCCCCAAUAUCAAAACUACCAUCAUUAAUCAUCCUUCUCCGACAGAUAGCAUUAAUGAACUUGAGGGAGCUAAUGUGGAGGCUAACGAGUUGGAGGCCUUUAUGGGCAAACUCAAGGGAAAAUCCAAGAAGCACUUUGUUGCUCUCUUAGAACAACUUGGUGAAGCCAAUGACAUGAUCGAGGCUCACGAAGACACCAUCACUAAGAUGGAAGGGCAUAGUCGUGACUAUGCCGAUGAGAUUUCGGAUCUUUCCAAUGCUCUUGAGGAAGAGCGUGGUCUUCGUUUGGCUCUUGAGGAGUCACACAACGUUGAUCAUGCUAAGUUAAAGAAAGAUUAUGAUCAUGUCCUCAUAGUUUCUCAUGUGCUAAACUCCGAGAAGGCCGAACUUGAGGUUGAUCUUGCUAGACUCAAAGAGGAGUUUGAUUUACUUGACAAGGCUCACAAGGUCUUGAAGGGUGCUCAUGCUAGCCGCAAAGAGUCUCAUGAUCAACUUCAAGUAAAGCUAACCAAGGAAAAAGCCACUUUCUCUCGUAUGAUGUUAAUUGAUAAUGCAAAUGCUACUAACCCGUGUUGUGAGCAUGUGCAUCUCGUUGAGGAGAACGCUAAGCUAAAGGGGCAACUUGAGAGAGGCCUUGCGACUUGCAUACAAGUCAAGAAGAACCUCAACGAUCUCUUGAUCAACCAAAAGGGAGUUGUGGCCAAGGAAGGGGUUGGGUAUGUGCCCGACUCCAAGAACAAGAAGAAGAAUGACAAGACCAAACGACCUCCUCCUCUCAUGCAAACCUUUGUGAAGGAGGGAGAGAGUGCCUCCGAGGAAAAGAAGAAGAACAAUGUCAAGAAGGGCAAUGUCACCCCUCCCAACAAAGCCGGCGAUUUUAAUCCUUCUUAUGUGUUAUGCCGUGCUAGUGAUGGGCAUGUUUAUGCCAAAUUUGUUGGUUCUCCUCAUGAAUACAUUGAAUGGUCUAUUUGGGUUCCAAAAACCCUUGUCACUAACAUCAAAGGACCCAUUACAAAAUGGGUACCUAAAACCAAGCAUUGAUCUCUUGUAGGUGUUUGCUUCUGGUGGGGGAUCAUGGUUGCUCGAUAGCGGAGCUACUAAUCAUAUGACCGGAAGCAAGGACUUGGUGGUGGACGUGCACAAGGUUCCAUCUAUGCCCACCAAUGUUGAGUGGGGUGACGCCUCAUCUUCUAAGGUAUUGGGACUUGGCAAGGUGGUCAUCUCUCAUGAUCUCACGAUCGAGAAGGUCAUGCUUGUUGAGUCCCUUGCAUACAAUUUACUUUCCGUUCGUCAACUUGCAAUCAUGGGCUUUGCCACUUUCUUUGAUAUCGAUACCGUGGCCCUCUUGUGGAGCAAGACUCUUAAAGUAGCUUUUGUUGGGCAUGUCGAGAACGGUCUAUAUGUGAUUAACUUUUCGGAGCGACCCAUUAAGACCGCGACAUGCCUAAUGGCUAAAGUUGAUGUGGGAUGGCUUUGGCAUCGCCGUUUAGCCCAUGUCAAUAUGAGAUCUUUGCAAAGUCUCCUCAAGGGGGACCAUGUCCGUGGACUAACGAAUGUUAGUUUUGCUAAAGAUCGUGCUUGCAGUGCCUGUACAGAAGGAAAGCUACAUGAGAAGGCUCACCCUCCCACGACUAUCAUUUAUUCAAAGAGGCCUUUGGAGCUCCUUCACAUGGAUCUCUUUGGGCCUCCAUCCUUCGAUAGUUUUGGAGGUAGGAAGUAUUGCUUGGUGAUUGUGGAUGACUACUCAAGGUACACGUGGGUGUAUUUCUUCAAGAGGAAGAACGAGACCCAACAAACCGUCAUUGACUUUGCAAAUGAAGCACAACGUCAACACAAUGCAAAGAUCUUGAUAAUAAGAAGUGACAACGGCACCGAGUUCAAGAACUACACCUUGGAUGAGUUUCUUAGUGAUGAGGGAAUCAAGCAUCAAUAUUCCGCACCCUACACCCCUCAACAAAACGGUGUUGCAGAGAGGAAGAACCGGACGUUGAUGGAUGUGGCAAGGACCAUGAUGGCAGAGUUCAAGUCUCCGUACAACUUUUGGGCCGAAGCCAUCAACACCGCAUGUCAUGCAUCCAAUCGGCUCUACCUCUACAAGGGCUUGAACAAGACUCCAUAUGAGAUACUCACCGGUAACAGGCCCAAUCUCAAGUACUUCCGAGUAUUCGGGUGUAAGUGUUUCAUUCUCAAGAAAGGUGUUCGAUUGUCUAAAUUUGAGGCUAGAGCUUAUGAGGGCAUAUUUGUUGGUUAUGCUACAAACUCUCAUGCUUACCGUGUCCUCAAUAAAUCCACGGGACUUAUUGAGGAGACAGGUAACGUGGAGUUUGAUGAGAAUAACGGCUCCCAAGUGGAGCAAAGUGGCACUUGUGAUGUAGGUGAUGAAAUUCCUCCCCAAGCCAUAAGAAGAAUGGGUGUUGGCUUUAUCCUACCCAUUGAGGAACCCCUUGUGGCCGAAGGAGAAGGACAAAGCUCCACUCAAGUGGAGCCAUCACCAACCCAAGGCCCACACGCUUCUGAAGAACAACAUGAAGGCCCUCAUCCUCAAGAACAUGACCAAGGGCAAGAUCACGCUCAAGACGGUGUUGACACAUCAAGUGAUGCCCAAGGUCAAGUUCUCUCCUCCGAGCAAGUUCAAGAACAAGAACAAGCCCAAGACGACGCUCAAGAUGAUCAAGUGACCACUCCUCGUCUCACCCCCGAGGAGGAAUUAGAGCGUCGUGCUGCCAAGGUUGCUUCCAAGCUCUCCACCAAGGAUCAUCUCAUGACGAAUGUGCUUGGAAACUUAAGAAAGGGGGUAAGCACUUGUAGACAAUUAGCAAAUUAUUGUGAGCAUCACGUGUUUGUCUCUUGUGUGGAACCCCACAAGGUCUAUGAAGCGCUAGAAGAUCCGGAUUGGCUCAAUCCCAUGCAUGAAGAACUCAACAACUUCGAGCGCAACAAAGUGUGGAGAUUGGUGCCAAGACCGAUCGGGAAUCACAAUGUCAUAGGAACCAAGUGGAUAUUUAAGAACAAGCAAGAUGCCCAUGGGAUUAUCAUUCGCAACAAGUCUUGUUUGGUAGCACAAGGCUACUCCCAAGUCGAGGGUAUCGACUACGGUGAAACCUUUGCUCCCGUUGAUCGUCUUGAAUCCAUUCGCAUGUUGAUUGCAUAUGCUUCUCAUCAUAACUUUAAGUUACAACAAAUGGAUGUGAAGAGUGCUUUUCUUAAUGGUCCUAUUAAUGAGUUGGUUUAUGUCAAGCAACCCCCCGGGUUCGAGGAUCCCUACUUUCCCGAUCAUGUGUAUCAACUCGAUAAGGCACUCUAUGGCCUUAACAAGCCCCACGUGCGUGGUAUGACCACCUUACCGAGUUGUUACAAGACCGUGGUUUUGAAGUUGGGCUAAUCGACCCCACUCUUUUUACUAAGAAGGUCAAAGGGGAGUUGUUUGUAUGCCAAUUAUACGUUGAUGAUAUUAUCUUUGGUUCUCCUAACAAAGCUUUCAAUGAGGAAUUUGCCGCUCUCAUGACCUCAAAGUUCAAGAUGUCCUCCAUGGGAGAGUUGAUGUUCUUUCUAGGGUUCGAAGUGAAGCAAAGAAGAGAAGGAACCUUCAUCAAUCAAUCCAAAUACACUCAAGACAUGCUCAAGAGAUUCAAGCUAAGUGACGUCAAGCCGGCUUCCACUCCAAUGCCCACCAAGUGCCAACUUGACUUAGAUCCCAAUGGUAAAGUGGUGGAUCAAAAGGUAUAUCAUUCCAUUAUUGGAUCCUUGCUUUACGUACCUUUGUGCAUCUAGACCGGACAUCAUGUUGAGUGUGGGAAUUUGUGCACGGUUUCAAGCCGCACCUAAGGAAAGUCACUAUGUGGCGGUCAAACGAAUCUUUCGAUAUUUGGUUCAUACCCCAAACUUUGGCUUAUGGUACCCAAGAGGAUCAAACUUCAAGCUUGUAGGGUACUCGGAUUCCGAUUGGGCGGGAGACAAAGUGGAUAGGAAGUCCACUUCCGGAGGGUGCCAAUUCCUUGGUUGCUCUUUGGUAAGUUGGUCUUCCAAAAAGCAAAGUUGUGUGUCUCUCUCGUCCACUGAGGCGGAGUAUGUUGCCGCCGGUAGUUGUUGUGCACAACUCCUAUGGAUGAGGAAAACUUUAAAGGAUUAUGGUGUCACUUGUGACAAAGUGCCUCUUUGGUGUGACAAUGAAAGUGCCAUCAAGAUCUCUCUCAACCCGGUGCAACACUUCAAGACGAAGCAUAUUGAGAUUCGGUAUCACUUCAUCCGGGAUCACAUUAGGCGAGGAGAGAUCGAGCUCAACUAUGUCAACACUCAUGACAACCUUGCAGAUAUUUUCACGAAGCCCUUGGAUGAAGCAAGAUUUCACGAGUUAAGGCAUGAGCUAAAUAUCAUUGAUUCGAGCAAUGUGGCUUGAACCCUUGCACACCCCACCACGCUCAUUUUGUUGUCUAGUUUAGGUGUAGGCAUGGACAUAGGGGGAGUGUUGUUCUCUCAAUGAACUCUCCCUCCCCCCAUUAUGCAUAAAUUGAUCAAGUCUUUCACUUUAGCCAUUGUUGAUGGUACUUGUGCUUCAAAGACGAGUUUUGGUCAUGGGCCCAAGGUUAAAAUCUUCGCGGCGCCAUACCUUUUGACUCAAACAUAGGUGGCCUCGGCCACCGCCCUCUUUUGAGAGGUGUGUCUUGGUCGUUUGCUGGUGUGCUCUUUUUCUUGCCGUUUUUGUCUUUCCUUUGAGCAAAAGCCUUGUUUGUUUGGUUGCCGUGGCGUGCUGGGCGGUACUACCGCUGGUGGUGCGCGGUACUACCGCUCAUAAGCGGUACUACCGCCCCCCAGCAUGGUACUACCACUGAGGGACGGGAUCAGGGGGUUAUAUCGGGGCAGGGGGAGGUUUCUUCUCCCCCAUACCCAUUCACUUCGCCCCCUCUUUCUUCUUCCUCUCUCCAGCCUCCACUCACCGUGGGAGGGCUCCGACGGAUCUCCGUCUCCGGGGCGUCCCUCUCCAUUUCCUUUGGUGGAGUCGAUCCCCACCUCGUUCUCUUGCCAUGGAUGCCGAUAUUGCCCCCGUUCCUUCUUUCCUUUUGUCUCACUUUCAGAUCUUGUUUCUUAGGGGCAAUGGUGGUUGCAUCUCUAGAUUUUUGGCUAAAUCUAGGCUUGAGUUGGUUGGAGAAGGCAACUAGACUAUCUCGAUUAGAGUUUGGUAGGAAUAUUUUUGAAUUUGGCAGGCCAGUAGUGCCGGAUCUGACCAUGGUAGUAGGAAACCGCUGUUUCUCCACCUCGUGCUGUAGGAAACUGUUGUUUCUCCGCCUCGAGCAGUACUACCGCUCUCGUUGGAGCAGUACUACCGCUUGACCUCGAGUGGUACUACCGCUCUAUUUGGGGCGGUACUACCGCGGGCAUGUCACGGUACUACCGCUGCAUGCCAAAUUCCAUCAAAUUCCUACCUUACCUUGAUUAUUUUUGUUGUGUUUGUUGGCUUAUGCUCGUUCUUUCUGGUUGUUUUGCGUGUUCUUGUGUUUGGCUCCAGGUGAUGACCAUUCUGAGCAUCAAGCUCGCCGUAUCAACCCCGGGCGUGCAACAUCAAAACGCUACCACACCUCUGAGCCAGCCGGUGGCUCCUCGAGCACCCAACCGCCUCCAGCAAGUGCAUCCGCAAGUGUUCCUCCACCUCCUCAGCAAACAAAGAGAUCCACCAACAAACCAAAAGGGAAGACUGUGACUGAGAUGACCAACAAGGAGUUUUGGGAGAAGCGGCGCCGCAACCCCUAUGCGGUGGACCAAGAACCCACUUUGGUCAACCGCCCGUUCUAGAACCGUUUUCAGUUUGCCAUCUACUUUGAUGUGAUCAAGGCCAAGAAGAAUCUCUUUGUUGAUGUUCGCUCCAUUGACACUGAUGCUAUGGAGAAGGACCCGGAGUACUUUGGCGAAGCCCUUCAGAUGUGCACUCAGCUGAACAUUCUCAGGAUCAUGCAAUUCAACAAGGAUUUCGAUGCAGAUUUGGUGGCUCAAUUCUAUGCCACCGUCCAUCUUGGGACGGAUGUCGACAGGACUCUGACAUGGAUGACCAAUGGCAAGCUGCUUUCCGUCAAGUGGAAGGCUUUCAUGGAGUUAUUUGAUGUGGUGGAUCACGGGCUUGAGACUCCUGUCGGUUUCCGCCCUCACCGCAAUGCUACGUCCACCCACAAGCAAGCCCUUUGGCCCUACUGCACUGUGAAAGUUCACCCAGUAACUAAGAAGAAGACCUAUGAGCUGUCUCUGUAUCUGGACAUUCUUCAUCGCAUCUUCCGUGAGACUCUCUUCCCUCGGAUCGGGAAUCUGGAUAUGGUCCACUCUUACCUUGUGGACAUGCUCCUUUUCUGUCAGCAUGAGAAGGAAGCAAGCACUGGAGAGAGCCUGGAUAUUUCUCAUGUCAUGUGGUCUGAACUUCUCUCUGCCGUGUCUGAGCGCAAGUGCCCUAUAUAUGGUCCAUUCAUCAUGAGGCUCAUUGAGACGGCCUGGGCACAGACUUAUCCCAGAGUAUUGCUAGAAACUGGAGACUUGGUUUCUCAUGAGAUCAAGAGUCUGAGGAAGAAGGACAAUUGGGCCACCCCAGUGCCUCACACAGGGGGUCCGUCUGCUGCUGCUGCCAUGGGGACCGAGGGUGGGGCUGCUACUGAUGAUCAUGAGGAGGACUUUGGGCCCUCUAGUACAGAACCGUCAUGGGCACAGAAGCUUAAACGCAAGAUGAAGAAGCUUUUCUGCAUGGAGUCUCAUGGCCAGUACAUGACUCAUGUGACGGAGAAGCAUGCCAGGACGCGCCACAAGGAGCUCAUGCGUCAGAUGGGGGCGACAGUUGCCAGUGGGUUUGAGGGGCAGAUCAUUGAAGAGGAGGAAUGGAUUCAUCAGCAUUGCCCUUGGACCGACUCCGAUGCCGAGCAGUUUUCGACCCACGAUGAAGAUGCAGAGAUGUGAUGUUCGAGAUCUUCUUCUUACCAUCACCUGGAGUCGUAGCGUCACUCUUUGCCCUUUUUGGUGUCUCGCUGCCAAAGGGGGAGAGAGUGUAGGGAUUUGUGUUAUUGGCGUACUUUGAGUUGUCUUGUGGUUUCUUGUGUGUUCUCUCGGUGUCUUUAUUUGGUUUGGUUUGGUGCCUGUGAGACCUAAGUUCUAGACAUAUGGUGUGAGACAUAUGCUCCCUAUCGCUACCUUAUUACUUAUGUCUUUUCAGUUCUGUAGUUUAUUAUGAGAUGCAUGCUUGUCUUGUUAUAUUCUCUUCUCUCAUAUAUCUUGUGCUUAGAAUUGUGCUUAGAAUUGUUGGAGUAUAAAAUAUAGGGGGAGUGUUGAUCCUGAUGUGUGUGUCUUGCUUUCCGGAUGCUCCUCUAACCAAGUGCACACAUUCUGGGGGAGCCCGUCUAUAUUUUGUAGUUCUUAGUUUUCUUUCUUUUAUUUCUUUUCCUUGCGCAAAUCCCUAGUUGUCAUCAAUCCACCAAAAAGGGGGAGAUUGUUACGGCAUAUCUCUCUCAAGGUAGUUUUGGUGAUUGAUGACAACAUGUUUGUGGACUAAUCAUGUGCUUUGAAUAGUUCACAGAUUGACCCCUGGCACGAGACGUUUCCUUCCCUUCAAGACGGUGGCGGAGAAGAGGGGUGUAGUUCUUUCGUUUCUCUCUCGGUGGACUAGUUGCGUAGAGGGCACCGUACUAUCAAGAGGGGGUCCGCUGGGGUAUUGCAUGGGUGGAAUCAACACGUACACAUCAGCUUCUCACCCUCCGAGCUUUUCCAUUCCAUUGUAGAGAUCUCUCCUCUUUUCCUUGUCCUGUCUGGGUCCCAGCGGUAGUACCGCGCAACCCAGCGGUAGUACCGCUGAGGAGACACAAGCGGCAGUACCGCUCCACAGCGGUAGUACCGCCCUUGUCUCCACAGUAGUAGUACCGCUGGGGUGCCUGGCACCACCGCCUCGUCCUCAGCCUCAUUGGAGAGAUUCUCUCUCUCUCUUCAGUGUCCCAACGGUAGUACCGCACUACUAGCGGUAGUACGGCCGAAGGAUCACAAGCGGCAGUACCGCUCCACAGCGGUAGUACCGCCCGUGACCACACUGCCGUAGUACCGCUGGGCUGUCUGGCUCCUACCGCCUCGACUCGAGGGGUCUUUUUCUCGUGUCGGGUUUUGCGGCACUAGUUGCGGUUGUAGAGGCGGUAGUACCGUUGCAGGAGCGGUAGUACCGCCCCUACCACCGCGGUAGUACCGCGUUGGGUCUUAUUCCCUACUAGUCUCCUCUGCGCGGCAGUGCCGCUGGCUGGUGCGGCAGUACCGCUGACCUAGCGGUAGUACCGCCCCCUCUUAGCGGUAGUACCGCCCUGUGCGGGGUUGGUUGGUGGGGGGCAACGGUUGGAUUGUUGCCCCCACUAUAAAAGGGAGUCCCCUUCUUCUCUUUGACCUACCUCUUUCUCCCCCAAGCUCCAUUUAUUGCUCAAGCUCCAUUAAAUGCUCCAAGCUCCAUUUUCGCCCGAUCUAUCUCUCUAGCCAAUCAAACUUGUUGAUUUGCUCGGGAGUGGUUGAGAAGGCCCCGAUAUACACUUCCACCAAGGGAUUUUCGAUUCCCCCACUCAUCCCUAGCGGAUCUUGUUACUCUUGGGUGUUUGAGCACCCUAGACGGUUGAGGUCACCACGGAGCCAUAGUCCAUUGUGGUGAAGCUUCGUGGUUUUGUUGGGAGCCUCCGAUUAAGUUGUGGAGAUUGCCCCAACCUUGUUUGUAAAGGUUCGGUCGCCGCCUUCAAGGGCACCAAUAGUGGAAUCACGGCAUCUCGCAUUGUGUGAGGGCGUGAGGAGAAUACGGUGGCCCUAGUGGCUUCUUGGGGAGCAUCGUGCCUCCACACCGCUCCAAUGGAGACGUACUUCCCCUCAAAGGGAAGGAACUUCGGUAACACAUCCUCGUCUUCACCGGAUCCACUCUUGGUUAUCUCUUACCUUUACUUGUGCAAGCUCUUUAGUGUUACUUCUCUUGCUUGCUUGUUUGCUUGUUGGUAUUGCAUCAUAUAGGUUGCUCACCCAGUUGCACAUCUAGACAACCUACUUUGAUGCAAAGUUUAAUUUGAUAAAGAAAAGUUAAAAAUUGGUAGUUGCCUAUUCACCCCCCCUGCCCUCUAGUCAACCAUAUCGAUCCUUUCACUUUCCCUAUCGACCGAUUGAGGGGAGGGCGUUACAUUCGCUGGGACUGCCCCCUUGGCGACCACUUCGUUCGAUUAACCCUCCUCCCUGGCGAUCGAAUGCCAGUUAUUCGGGUCCUUUAUUUAUAGGUAGUGUAGGGAAAAGAAUAGCAAGCGAACACCCGCAAGCCGGCAAAUAGGGGAACCGGGGAAGGAAGAACCAAUGCGAGGACGAAGAGAAAGAAGUAGGGCGGGAGAGGUGGACUAAAGGUGUAGAGCCCGGAGCUACCCGGUCCUUCUUUUUUGUGAAUUGGUUGGUCAGAAAAUUAGCAUUGAAUAGUUGCCUAGGUGUGUGUGUUUGGAUCAAGUUUUUGUGGAACUUGGGUUGGAUUAUUUGAUUACUACCACAAAGAAAAUAUUAUUUGGUCGCUAGGAAUGAAUCGUUUAUUACAAACUACAUUUUUUCCAGAUAAAUUGGAAAAACGACAUAUAGGCCAUACGUUUAGGACUCUUUUUUUAGGGUGUUCAACCCAAACCAGUAUUCAAAUAAAUUGAGCCCAUACUGUGAGAGUCAGUAGCCCGGUAUAUAUGGCCCAUUAAAAAAGUACAUUUGUUUUCGAAAUAUCAAUUAAAAAUUUGAACUAUAAUCAGUUUGACAAUGAAAUAAUCAAAAUAUUCACCCAUUAUAAAAAUAUGUAGUUUGAAAAAAUAUUUAUGUAUUUUAAAAAUAUACUCAUGGAACUAAUUUUUUUUCCAUAUUUAGUGUGUGUUUAAUUUUAGAAUGAUUUUUUAUUACAAAGUCAAAAAAAUGCCGAAUUAGCAAGUGAAAACUAUAUGUUAGUGAAAAUCUGGAAACGUUCCUCAUGGAUCAUCAGAUAGACAAGGAACGCUGGAGAUUUGAGGUGGGAUCCCCACCAGCCACUUCAACACGAAUUAGCAAAUAACCCCUUCUUUUACCACUGGGCCAUUGACGCUUCGAGCACGAUCGAUUCGUCUUUGAUCUAGUGGGCGUGAAGGAGAGUUGCCCUACGCCGGCCACGACGCGUUCUCCGCUGGCGGUAAUGCGCCCUUCGUUGGCUGAACUCUCUCUCUCUUCCGGCCACGAAGAGCCCUUCGAUGUCCAUGAUCCUCUCCCUUCGCUAGUUUUGGCCGGCACUUCAGAAGACACAUUGGCGCCGCCUCUCCAUGAUAUCGCCGCUCCUCCGUCCCUGCCAUUACAGUACAUCAUCUGAUUCAUGUACUGAUUGUACUACUAUGGUGUCAUAAAUGUAUUGCCGGAACCUCCUCGUAGCCCUCCACCUGAUGAUAGUACAAUCAGUAGGUAAAUCAUAGUACAAUCAGUAGUACAAUCAGUAGGUAAAUCAUAGUAAUCUCAACGUCAUAGUUUUUCUUCUUCAGUUGAUACACUUUUGAAGCAUCUGAAUUGGUCUUUUCUGUUUGCCGCUUCGUCGGUAUACGGUAUAGCAUGUUCAACAGUUGUCCGCAGUAGUCUAUAUUGCUAUGUAAACUGGACUUUGCCUGCACAAAGAAAUCCUACUUGAGGGCAGAAGACUGGAUUCUCCAAAAGAAACAAUAUCGGAUGAGUUCCCAGAUUAUAAACUAUGGGAUGAGUUCCCAAAAGAAUAUCCUACUUGUAUGUCUAAAAGAAAAUCCUACUUGUACGUCCAUUCUAAUUGUUUCCUUCAUGUCUACCUACGGGAUUUCUUAUUUUGAUUUGAGGCAACCGCGUGUUUUAUUUUGGGUAAUACUCCCUCCUUCCCACAUUAUAAGACGUUUUGGCAAGUUAAAUGGUAUGCCAAAACACCCCGCAAAAAAAAAAAAUGGCAUGCCAAAACGUCUUAUGCGACGAAGGGAGUACAAAGAUUAAAUCCGAAGCUAGUGGGAGCUUGAAUUUCAUUCAUUACUGGCUUUGUGCCGAUAUUUUGCUUGGACUACUAUUUUCUACAUAUCUGAAUUUUAUAUACUUCUGGGAGUUGUCUAGUUAUGUAUCCCGGACCUUGUCUUUGCAACUUGAAGUAUUUACCAAACACUAUGGUUAAUUAAGUUAAUGAUGUAUCAAGCAUUGUAUUUCUGAUUCAUUGCUUCCGGUGCUCUAGUUGUUUUUAUUGAUGGUUGGUGCUGCAUCUGGCUAGAUAGUUGGUUGCAGUCAGAUAACUCCUGACCAUGUGAAAGCCCACAACCGUGUGAUGAAGUUUCUAUGGUUUUUAUGGUUCUGGAAAAAAUUGUUACACAAAUAAUUAUUUCAAUUCUUCAAAGUUCAUGCUCUUAUCAAAAGUCUUUGCGAGAUGAACUUCUGCCCAUGCAUGUGCACAUAAACUAGAGGUCUGUUUGGAUGACGCCGAAGACAGCCCCGCCAAAAUUUUGGUGGGGUAGCUAUUGGCUACAAUCCAAACAGACAGUUUUUGCAAGAUUACUAUUAUUCUGUCAAUCCAUCGUUUAUGCUUUUUAUCUUAUGGGUUAGGUUUUGGAAGCUACACCCCCAGCCACAUGAUUUGUGCUUUUUAUCCUACAUGUUUAUGUAUUUCAAUAAAAAUAUAUUCCUCUCUCCGAUCCAAAUUAGUUAUUGCUCAGACGGAUGUAUCUAUCAUUGAAAUACAUCUCGAUACAUCCAUUUCGGUGACAAGUAAUAUGGAUUGGAGGGAGCACUCAACCAUUUUCUUUCUUCGUUCCAUAGUCAUCUGCCUCUAUUUAGCCUCCCACCCGAUCCUUGCAAGUUAUAUCUUGUUGAAGUUCGUCAUGGUGGCACGGCUCUGCUUGCUCUGUUAAUUCUAUUAUGUCUCUGUUAAUCCCCAUAUCAAACUUUAAGGCUGACAAUAACUUUGUGACAUUGUUCUUUUUAUUGUAACUAUGGCAGGGAUGGAUAAUAGCGGCUUAGUUAUGUUUUCACUGUGUGUCUUUGUCUCUUAGCACCUACAGUGUUGGAUGACACUUUUGCAUUGAACAAUUCAGUAAACCCAACAGUAUAACCACCGUACAUGCCUUCAACAACACAUGAAAACAUCCUCGGCAACAAUAUGAAGUGUACUACAACCAAAACCGCUAGGACAUAAAAACUAGAGUGCGCCACAACACGCAUACGAAUAUCAUACAGUACAAUGUUUGCACAAUAUCAUAUGGGCUGUCACAAAAGAUAGCAAGAACAAAUUGCAGUAUUUUGAAGAACUGUUCACAAUCAAGUUGAUCAAUACUUUAUUACUCUUUUGAGCACAUGGACAUUGAACCUGCCUUACACCCAAGACCUUUUUAGCACAUUAUAAAACAUUGUAUCCAUCAUUCGUUAGACAUUCAGUUAUAGCAGCAACAAAGGCCACCAUGGUCCGGUGUGCAGUGGCCUUUUUUGAAUUCAAAAAAAUGCACAAUGAUCAAUGCAUGGCUGGUCGGAUAAAGUGUCUCCUUCACAACUUUUAAAUUUGAUGCACAAGUAGGGAAGGGGGGUUGGUUUUGGAUCUACACACAAAAAAAUAUAGCAAAGUUAGAAUAUAUAAAAUACUUAAGUUACUUGGGUUAGUUUGAAUUACAUAUGCAAAGGCAUGUGCGCUUACACAAAGUGCGCAUAAACAAAUCCCAAAACAAGCAGGAAGGUUGAUUAGAUAGAGAAAUGGUUGUACCUGCAUGACAUGAGAAUAGAGUAGACAUCAUCACAAGAGCUACCAAGCAUAGAGCUCUUGUAUUGCUCUUGGUAAGAUCCAUAAGAAGUCACUACUAGAAAAAGGGUCAAAUGUGAAGCACAUUAGUGCCGGUUUAAAUUUGAGCCGGCACUAAUGUGACCAUUAGUGCCGGUUUCAACGGCUAGGCAGGCGGGCAUCAUUAGUACCGGUUCGUGGGCAACCUUUAGUACCGGUUCAUGCCACGAACCGGUACUAAUGAGGCUGUGGCAGGCUAUGGUCAGGCUGGGGCCCCCACGAAGACCUUUAGUAUCGGUUCAUGCCCUGAACCGGUACUAGAGUUUCUUAGUAAGCUGAUUUUUAGUCCCACCUCGCCAAGAGAGAGGCAGUAUGAGCGGUUUAUAAGCCGUGAGUGCACAGACAAUGACGAAGAGUUGCAAUGCUCACCUGCAUGUUGAUUAGCUUCAAGCCUUGCGGAAAUAGCAUAGAUUGCACUGAGCUAUGUGCAGUGCAGUCUACACUAUUCCGAAUGGCUUGAAGCAAAUUAACCAGCACUGCACCUCUUUUUUAUUUUUAAUAACUUAUUUGAACUUCGGACUUCUUUUGUGUUCGGUAUGCAGCAUUCAAAGCGACGUCAUCAAUUUCCAACAUGUUUUGACAUCAUUUAUUGUUUUUCGGUCAUUUACCGAAUUGUUUAGAGAGCUAAAUGACCGUGAAAUUGAAAAUUACUACAAAAUGAAUUCUGAAAAUGUUGAAACUUGGCAUGGUAUCAGCAUUUCACCCGCAUAGCAUGUGCGAAAGAGUAGAGAGGGUCACGGCAAAAACUGGACGCAGUUCGUGUACAAACUGGACAAACUCUUUCGGAGUAUCAGGGUUUCGGACGAGAACUCAUCUGUUACACGGGCACUUUAAUGUUUUUUAAACUUAUUUGAACUCCGGACUUCUUUUGUGUUCAGUAUGCAACAUUUAAAGCGACGUCAUCAAUUUCUAACAUGUUCUGACAUCAUUUGUUGUUUUUCGGUCAUUUACCUAAUUGUUUAGAGAGNNNNNNNNNNNNNNNNNNNNNNNNNNNNNNNNNNNNNNNNNNNNNNNNNNNNNNNNNNNNNNNNNNNNNNNNNNNNNNNNNNNNNNNNNNNNNNNNNNNNNNNNNNNNNNNNNNNNNNNNNNNNNNNNNNNNNNNNNNNNNNNNNNNNNNNNNNNNNNNNNNNNNNNNNNNNNNNNNNNNNNNNNNNNNNNNNNNNNNNNNNNUCUGUUCAGUAUGCAGCAUUCAAAGCGACUUCAUCAAUUUCCAACAUGUUCUAACAUCAUUUGUUUUUUUCAGUCAUUUACCUAAUUGUUUAGAGAGCUAAAUGAUUUUGAAAUUGAAAAUCACUAUAAAAUGAAUUCUGAAAAUGUUGAAACUUGGCAUGGUAUCAUCAUUUCACCCGCAUAGCAUGUGCAAAAGAGUAGAGAGGGUCACGGCAAAAACUAGACGCACUUCGUGUACAAACUGGACAAACUCUUUCGGAGUAUCAGGGUUUCGGACAAGAACUCAUCUGUUACACGGGCACUUCAAUGUUUUUUAAUAUCAUUUGAACUCCAGACUUCUUUUGUGUUCGGUAUGUAGCAUUCAAAGUGAUGUCAUCAAUUUCCAACAUGUUCUAACAUCAUUUGUUGUUUUUUGGUCAUUUACCUAAUUGUUUAGAGAGAUAAAUGACCGUGAAAUUGAAAAUCACUACAAAAUGAAUUCUAAAAAUGUAGAAACUUGGCAUGGUAUCAUCAUUUCACCCGCAUAGCAUGUGCGAAAGAGUAGAGAGGGUCACGGCAAAAACUGGAUGCACUUCAUGUACAAAUUGGACAAACUCUUUCGGAGUAUCAGGGUUUCGGACAAGAACUCAUCUGUUACACGGGCACUUCAAUGUUUUUUAAACUUAUUUGAACUCCGGACUUCUUUUGUGUUCAGUAUGCAGCAUUCAAAGCGACAUCAUCAAUUUCUAACAUGUUCUAACAUCAUUUGUUGUUUUUCGGUCAUUUACCUAAUUGUUUAGAGAGCUAAAUGAUCGUGAAGUUGAAAAUCACUAAAAAUGAAUUCUGAAAAUGUUGAAACUUGGCAUGNNNNNNNNNNNNNNUCAUUUGUUACACGGGCACUUCAAUGUUUUUUAAACUUAUUUGAACUCCGGACUUCUUUUAUGUUCAGUAUGCAGCAUUCAAAGCGACGUCAUCAAUUUCCAACAUGUUCUGACAUCAUUUGUUCUUUUUCGGUCAUUUACCUAAUUGUUUAGAGAGCUAAAUGAUCGUGAAAUUGAAAAUCACUACAAAAUGACUUCUGAAAAUGUUGAAACUUGGCAUGGUAUCAUCAUUUCACCCGCAUAGCAUAUGCGAAAGAGUAGAGAGGGUCAAGGCAAAAACUAGACACACUUCGUGUACAAACUGGACAAACUCUUUCGGAGUAUCAGGGUUUCGGACGAGAACUCAUCUGUUACACGGGCACUUUAAUGUUUUUUAAACUUAUUUGAACUCCGGACUUCUUUUGUGUUCAGUAUGCAGCAUUCAAAGCGACGUCAUCAAUUUCCAACAUGUUCUGACAUCAUUUGUUGUUUUUCGGUCAUUUACCUAAUUGUUUAGAGAGCUAAAUGACCGUGAAAUUGAAAAUCACUACAAAAUGACUUCUAAAAAUGUUGAAACUUUGCAUGGUAUCAUCAUUUCACGCGCAUAGCAUGUGCGAAAGAGUAGAGAGGGUCACGACAAAAACUGGACGCACUUCGUGUACAAACUGGACAAACUCUUUCGGAGUAUCAGGGUUUCGCACGAGAACUCAUCUGUUACACGGGCACUUCAAUGUUUUUAAAACUUAUUUGAACUCUGGACUUCUUUUGUGUUCAGCAUGCAGCAUUCAAAGCGAUAUCAUCAAUUUCCAACAUGUUCUAACAUCAUUUGUUAUUUUUCGGUCAUUUACCUAAUUGUUUAGAGAGCUAAAUGACCGUGAAAUUGAAAAUCACUACAAAAUGACUUCUGAAAAUGUUGAAACUUGGCAUGGUAUCAUCAUUUCACCCGCAUAGCAUGUGCGAAAGAGUAGAGAGGGUCACGGCAAAAAUUGGACGCACUUCGUGUACAAACUGAAAAUAGAAGAAAAGAAAUAAUGCAGAAAAGAAAAAACUAUACAAAAAAUUACUCAAAAAUAAAUAGAAGAAAAUAAAUAAUGCAAAAAAGAAAAAAAAACUAUAUAAAAAAUUACUUAAAAAUAAAUAGAAGAAAAUAAAAAAUGCAGAAAAGAAAAAACUAUAUAAAAAAUUUGUUGGCGCACUGCCCAGUGGGUCUGCCAGACCUAGGGUGUGCAAAUGCAGGCCCAGAAAGGCCAGCAGACUCACAGGGCAGCGCGCCCUAGUUAGGCCCAAAAGCCUGCUAUAUAGAGAAGCUCGAAGGAGCAGCCGCGGCUGAGUUUAUAAACCAGUGCGGUUGCCCUUCGCUCGGCGAGGUGGGACUAAAUAUUUGUGCACCGCCGGUGGCAGCGCACAACCAUUAGUACCGGUUGGUGGCUCCAACCGAUACUAAAGGGGGGGUCUUUAGCACCGGUUCGUGGCACAAACCGAUACUAAAGAGGUCGUUUCCCGCCCCUUGGCCGGCGAAAAUUGGCCUUUAUUACCGGUUGGUGGCUCCAACCGUACUAAAGACCCCUCCUAUAUAUAUGGCACUUACAAAAAAUCAGUUUCAUCGACGACCAGUACUUCUUCUCGAUCCAACUUCUUCGCCGCGCCUGUCGCCCAUCGCGCGCCGCCCUCGCCGCCUGUCGUCGCCGUCACCGCCAUCGCCCACGCCACCCGUCGUCGCCGUCACCGCCGUCGCCCCCGCCACCCGUCGUCGCCGNNNNNNNNNNNNNNNNNNNNNNNNNNNNNNNNNNNNNNNNNNNNNNNNNNNNNNNNNNNNNNNNNNNNNNNNNNNNNNNNNNNNNNNNNNNNNNNNNNNNNNNNNNNNNNNNNNNNNNNNNNNNNNNNNNNNNNNNNNNNNNNNNNNNNNNNNNNNNNNNNNNNNNNNNNNNNNNNNNNNNNNNNNNNNNNNNNNNNNNNNNNNNNNNNNNNNNNNNNNNNNNNNNNNNNNNNNNNNNNNNNNNNNNNNNNNNNNNNNNNNNNNNNNNNNNNNNNNNNNNNNNNNNNNNNNNNNNNNNNNNNNNNNNNNNNNNNNNNNNNNNNNNNNNNNNNNNNNNNNNNNNNNNNNNNNNNNNNNNNNNNNNNNNNNNNNNNNNNNNNNNNNNNNNNNNNNNNNNNNNNNNNNNNNNNNNNNNNNNNNNNNNNNNNNNNNNNNNNNNNNNNNNNNNNNNNNNNNNNNNNNNNNNNNNNNNNNNNNNNNNNNNNNNNNNNNNNNNNNNNNNNNNNNNNNNNNNNNNNNNNNNNNNNNNNNNNNNNNNNNNNNNNNNNNNNNNNNNNNNNNNNNNNNNNNNNNNNNNNNNNNNNNNNNNNNNNNNNNNNNNNNNNNNNNNNNNNNNNNNNNNNNNNNNNNNNNNNNNNNNNNNNNNNNNNNNNNNNNNNNNNNNNNNNNNNNNNNNNNNNNNNNNNNNNNNNNNNNNNNNNNNNNNNNNNNNNNNNNNNNNNNNNNNNNNNNNNNNNNNNNNNNNNNNNNNNNNNNNNNNNNNNNNNNNNNNNNNNNNNNNNNNNNNNNNNNNNNNNNNNNNNNNNNNNNNNNNNNNNNNNNNNNNNNNNNNNNNNNNNNNNNNNNNNNNNNNNUAGUUUAGUUGAAUUUUUUAGUUGAACUAGUUAGUUGAAUUAGUUCAAUUAAUUAGGUAUAUUCUUCGUAAAUGCUUAGUUGAAUUAGUUCAAUUAAUUAGGUAUAUUCUUCGUAAAUGCUUAGUUGAAUUAGUUCAAUUAAUUAGUUGAACUAGUUGAAUUAACAGAAUUAGUUGAAUUAAUAGAACUAAUAAGUGUUUAAUGUUUCACCUAUGAACAUAGGAAUGUCGUGUGACGACGAACACGAUUUUAUUAUGUGCGAAUACUGCGAAGACCAGCGGGGCCCGUGCGGCAGAAAUUUUCUAGUUGAUGAUAGACGCUUCAGCAUCAAGCUAGAUGAGAACUUCGAAGUGGAUACAGUAAGUCACAACGACAAGUCUUUUUUCGUAAUUAAGCAUGACUUAUGCUUCAUUUGCUUCACCUUUUAAUUUUAAUUUUUCACUAUUCUACUAGCGUAUCCCCUGCCAUGUAAGAAUUUUUGUCUUGGAUAAGAUAGGUUUCAGUCCUAACGAAACUAUGGAGGUAAAAAGAGUUUACUUGAAGACCGAGCAUGGUUAUACCUUCAACGUCAAAUUAUACAAUGCAGACACAUACACCUAUUUUGAAUGCAAAACUUGGCAAGCACUAUGCAAGGCUUAUGCAUUUGAGCCUGAUAUGGUUAUCACCUUGAUAUUCGUCCGGAAGAUGAUAUUGAAGGUAAUAGAGACAUCUGGGUCGAUGUGCAGACGCCUCCAGUUCUAUCAUUAUGUGAGUUUCUCAACCAUAUUUAUGUCUUCGAUAUGAGAUUAUUUGAACCAGUUGAAUAAUUAAUAGAUCUCAAUUUAUAUUGACAACUUACUUCCAAUCAAGCAAACAUGUCCGGCGCUUGGUAGACAGGACCGUCCACUGUCCCGGGGCUGAACUAAACUGCGAGGAGACAAGUCAUUAUGUUUCAUGGCUUGAGGAUCUUGAUGCUGUCAAGACAAAUUCUUUCGGAGUAUCAGGGUUUCGGAUGAGAACUCAUCUGUUACACGGGCACUUCAAUGUUUUUUAAACUUAUUUGAACUCCGGACUUCUUUUGUGUUCAGUAUGCUGCAUUCAAAGUGACGUCAUCAAUUUCCAACAUGUCCUGACAUCAUUUGUUGUUUUUUGGUCAUUUACCUAAUUGUUUAGAGAGCUAAAUACCAUGAAAUUGAAAAUCACUAGAAAAUGAACUCUGAAAAUGUUGAAACUUGGCAUGGUAUCAUCAUUUCACCCGCAUAGCAUGUGCGAAAGAGUAGAGAGGGUCACGGCAAAAACUGGACGCACUUCAUGUACAAACUGGACAAACUCUUUUGGAGUAUUAGGGUUUCGGACGAGAACUCAUCUGUUACACGGGCACUUCAAUGUUUUUAAAACUUAUUUGAACUCCGGACUUCUUUUGUGUUCAGCAUGCAGCAUUCAAAGCGACAUCAUCAAUUUCCAACAUGUUCUGACAUCAUUUGUUGUUUUUCGGUCAUUUACCUAAUUGUUUAGAGAGCUAAAUGACCGUGAAAUUGAAAAUCACUACAAAAUGACUUCUGAAAAUGUUGAAACUUUGCAUGGUAUCAUCAUUUCACCCGCAUAGCAUGUGCGAAAGAGUAGAGAGGGUCACGGCAAAAACUGGACGCACUUCGUGUACAAACUGGAAAUAGAAGAAAAGAAAUAAUGCAGAAAAGAAAAAAACUAUACAAAAAAUUACUCAAAAAUAAAUAGAAGAAAAUAAAUAAUGCAGAAAAGAAAAAAACUAUAUAAAAAAUUACUCAAAAAUAAAUAGAAGAAAAUAAAUAAUGCAGAAAAGAAAAAACUAUAUAAAAAAUUUGUUGGCGCGCUCCCCAGUGGGUCUGCCAGACCUAGGGUGUGCAAAUGCAGGCCCAGAAAGGCCAGCAGACUCACAGGGCAGCGCGCCCUAGUUAGGCCCAAAAGCCUGCUAUAUAGAGAAGCUCAAAGGAGCAGCCGCGGGUGGGUUUAUAAACCAGUGCGGCUGCCCUUCGCUCGGCGAGGUGGGACUAAACAUUGUGCACCGCCGGUGGCAGCGCACAACCAUUAGUACCGGUUGGUGUCUCCAACCGAUACUAAUGAUUGGGCCUUUAGUACCGGUUUGUGGCACGAACCGGUACUAAAGGGGCCGUUUCCCGCCCCUUGGCCUGGCGAAAAUUGGCCUUUAGUACCGGUUGGUGGCUCCAACCGGUACUAAAGGCCCCUCCUAUAUGUAUGGCACUUACAAAAAAUUCAGUUUCAUCGACCACCACUUCUUCUCAAUCCAACUUCUUCGACACGCCCGUCGCCCAUCGCGCGCCGCCUUCGCCGCCCCCGCCGCCCGUCGUCGCCGUCACCGCCGUCGCCCCCNNNNNNNNNNNNNNNNNNNNNNNNNNNNNNNNNNNNNNNNNNNNNNNNNNNNNNNNNNNNNNNNNNNNNNNNNNNNNNNNNNNNNNNNNNNNNNNNNNNNNNNNNNNNNNNNNNNNNNNNNNNNNNNNNNNNNNNNNNNNNNNNNNNNNNNNNNNNNNNNNNNNNNNNNNNNNNNNNNNNNNNNNNNNNNNNNNNNNNNNNNNNNNNNNNNNNNNNNNNNNNNNNNNNNNNNNNNNNNNNNNNNNNNNNNNNNNNNNNNNNNNNNNNNNNNNNNNNNNNNNNNNNNNNNNNNNNNNNNNNNNNNNNNNNNNNNNNNNNNNNNNNNNNNNNNNNNNNNNNNNNNNNNNNNNNNNNNNNNNNNNNNNNNNNNNNNNNNNNNNNNNNNNNNNNNNNNNNNNNNNNNNNNNNNNNNNNNNNNNNNNNNNNNNNNNNNNNNNNNNNNNNNNNNNNNNNNNNNNNNNNNNNNNNNNNNNNNNNNNNNNNNNNNNNNNNNNNNNNNNNNNNNNNNNNNNNNNNNNNNNNNNNNNNNNNNNNNNNNNNNNNNNNNNNNNNNNNNNNNNNNNNNNNNNNNNNNNNNNNNNNNNNNNNNNNNNNNNNNNNNNNNNNNNNNNNNNNNNNNNNNNNNNNNNNNNNNNNNNNNNNNNNNNNNNNNNNNNNNNNNNNNNNNNNNNACUAGUUAGUUGAAUUAGUUCAAUUAAUUAGGUAUAUUUUUUGUAAGUGCUUAGUUGAAUUAGUUCAAUUAAUUAGUUGAACUAGUUGAAUUAACAGAAUUAGUUGAAUUAAUAGAACUAAUAAGUGUUUAAUGUUUCACCUAUGAACAUAGGAAUGUCGUGUGACGACGAACAUGAUUUUAUAAUGUGCGAAUACUGCGAAGACCAGCGCGGCCUGUGCGGCAGAAAUUUUCUAGUUGAUGAUAGACGCUUCAGCAUCAAGCUGGAUGAGAACUUCGAAGUGGAUACAGUAAGUCACAGCGACAAGUCUUUUUUCGUAAUUAAGCAUGACUUAUGCUUCAUUUGUUUCAACUUUUAAUUUUAAUUUUUCACUAUUCUACUAGUGUAUCCCCUGCCAUGCAAGAAUUUUUGUCUUGGAUAAGAUAGGUUUCAGUCCUAACGAAACUACGGAGGUAAAAAGAGUUUACUUGAAGACCGAGCAUGGUUAUACCUUCAACGUCAAAUUAUACAAUGCAGACACAUACACCUAUUUUGAAUGCAAAACUUGGCAAGCACUAUGCAAGGCUUAUGCAUUUGAGCCUGAUAUGGUUAUCACCUUUGAUAUUCGUCCGGAAGAUGAUAUUGAAGGUAACAGAGACAUCUGGGUCAAUGUGUAGACGCCUCCAGUUCUACCAUUAUGUGAGUUUCUCAACCAUAUUUAUGUCUUUGAUAUGAGAUUAUUUGAACCAGUUGAAUAAUUAAUAGAUCUCAAUUUAUAUUGACAGCUUACUUCCAAUCAAGCAAACAUGUCCGGCGCUUGGUAGACAGGACCGUCCACUGUCCCGGGGCUGAACUAAACUGCGAGGAGACAAGUCAUUAUGUUUCAUGGCUUGAGGAUCUUGAUGUUGUCAAGACAAAUUUCUUUCCUGCACUUAGAAAUGUUAGUACUCAAAAUGUGCGACCAAUAGUGUUCGUACUGAACUACGGUCACAUAUAUUUAGGAAAGAUGGUAAGAUUUCUACUAUUUCUCCUCAGUGCAUCUUUUGCAUACAUUGUUUUUUAAGCUAAACUUCAUUGCUAAGUAUGUUACUAUACGAUGUUCUUCAACAGGGACUCCCGAUGAAUGAUGUGCCUGAUUGGAUCGAGACUAAAGGUACCAUGAAUAUUGUUAGCUUACGGCCAAGAUAUCCUACAAUGCACUUUAGUGCAUUCGGGAUUUCUAAUAGCGAGGAAUGCUUAAUAGUAAAAGACUGGAGCAAAAUUGUGAACGAUCACAGAGAAGUACUAGGGGGCAGCAAUCAGAAGCGCAACCCACGAUUAGGAGACAGGUUCAUCUGCAUGCUCCAAUAUGAUGAAUCAGCAAAGCUAUACAUGUUCUAUGCUAUUUUACCCGAGAAAGAGCAGCAUGAGUGAUUAAUUAGCUAGUUCAUGCUCUUAGUACUUGUCCUCUCAUGUCCGUGUUCUUUGUCCUGAACUUAAUCUCAAAGAGUGAUUUGCUUUUGUGGUGUUAUGAACGCUUAUAACAUCAUUACCAUGUUGAACUCGAUGAUAUCUUUGCUAUGAAAACCGUUGGUGAUGAUAUAUAUGAUGCAAGAGUUUUUAUAUUAAUUAAUAUUAUGAUGAUGAUGAGUUAUUAUAUCAUUUAUGAAAGAAAUUGCAUAUUAGUUUCAACUGGAUGGAUUCUAGCUAAGUGAUCAAGUAUAUGCCAUAUCCAUAUUACCUUGAUCACUUAAGUAGGUGAUCAAGUAUAUAUAAUAUGGAUAUGACAUAUACUUGAUGACUUAGCUAGGAUCCACACGCAUCCAGUCAAACUAAUCACCUAAUGAUUUAACAACUCAUUAUAAUGUAAAACAAUCACUAAAUUAAAUUGAAAACACAAAAUUAAAGUAAAAAUAAAAAAUAAAACCAAAACACACCCAAACAUUUAGUACCGGUUGGUGUUACCAACCGGUACUAAUGUCCUAUGCGCCGACGGAGCUGGCUCGUGCCACGUGGUUGCCCUUUAGCACCGGUUCGUGCUGAACCGAUACUAAAGGGGGGGGGGGGCUUUAGUGCCUACAAUUUAGUGCCGGUUACCGAACCGGCACUAAAGGCCCUUACGAACCGGUGCUAUUGCCCGGUUCUGCACUAGUGAGUGGCUUGUUACUUAUUUCUUGUACGUAUGUUUGUUCUUGUAGUUUGUAUUUCCAACAUAUGCCCUUUGUGUUGGUGUUUAUAUAACCAUGGCCAGACCAUGAAGGGUCAGUCCCCCCCUUUCUAUUUUUUGAUGGAGAUAAUUAGUAUCUAAAUAAACCAUUGUAUAUCCUAUGGAUAACUUGCUAUUAAACUUUUAUUGAAUUCUAACCUUAAAAUAUAUUAGCAUUUUGAAAUGACAUACAUAGAGAACAUUAAAACGUAUCUUUCUUUUGUAGGGUACAUUAGAAUGUAUCGCGGAUCCAGCCCAGCUGGCCGCUCGGGCUUGAUGUCGCUUGAAGCUACGUCGGUAUUUCCCCAAAGAGGAAGGGAUGAUGCAGCAUAUCGGUGGUAGGUAUUUCCCUCAGAUAUGAAACCAAGGUUAUCGAACCAGUAAGAGAACCAAUCAACAUAACGUAAAUAACUCCUGCACGUAGAUAAGAAAUCCUCGCAACCCGACGUGUUAAAGGGGUUGUCAAUCCCUUCCGGGGUACGGCGCCUCAAGAUAGGUAAAUGAACGUGAGAUAAAAUUGUAGUAGAUUGAAAGAUAGAUCGUAAAUAAAAUAAAUAGAAAUAAAACACAACAAGGUAUUUUUGGUUUAAUAGAUCUGAAAAUAAAUGCAAGAAAAAAGUAGAUCGCAAAGGCAUAUAUAUGAGAAGGAAGACCCGGGGGCCGUAGGUUUCAUUAGUGGCUUCUCUCGAGAAAAAUAGCAAACGAUGGGUGAACAAAUUACUGUUGGGAAAUUGAUAGAACUUUGAAUAAUCAUGAUGAUAUCCAGGCAAUGAUCAUUAUAUAGACAUCACAUCCAAGAUUAGUAGACCGACUCCUGCCUGCAUCUACUACUAAUACUCCACACAUCGACCGCUAUCCAGCAUGCAUCUAGUGUAUUAAGUUCAUGGAGAAACGGAGUAAUGCAAUAAGAACGAUGACAUGAUGUAGACAAGAUCUAUCUAUGUGGAGAUAGACCCCAUCGUUUUAUCCUUAGUAGUAAUGAUACAUACGUGUUGUUUCCCUUUCUGUCACUAGGAUCAAGCACCGUAAGAUCGAACCCACUACAAAGCACCUCUUCCCAUUGCAAGAUAAAUAGAUCAAGUUGGCCAAACAAAACCCAAAUAUCAAAGAAGAAAUAUGAGGCUAUACGCAAUCAUGCAUAUAAGAGAUCAAAGAAACUCAAAUAACUUCCAUGGAUAUAAAAAGAUAGAUCUGAUCAUAAACUCAAAGUUCAUCGAUCCCACAAACACACCGCAAAAGAGUUACAUUAUAUGGAUCUCCAAGAGACCAUUGUAUUGAGAAUCCAGCGAGAGAGAGGAAGCUAUCUAGCUACUAAUUACGGACCUAAAGGUCUACAAAGAACUACUCACACAUCAUCGGAGAGGCACCAAUGGAGGUGGUGAACCCCAUCCGAGAUGGUGUCUAGAUUGGAUCUGGUGGUUCUGGACUCUGCGGCGGCUGGAUGAAUAUUUCGUCAACUCCCCAAGGGUUCUGGAAAUAUUGGGGUAUUUAUAGAGCAAAGAGGCGGUCCGGGGGGCACCCGAGGUGGGCACAACCCAACCCACCAGGGCGUGCCUGGGCCUCCUGGCGCGCCCUGGUGGGUUGUGCCCCCCUCGGGGCACCCCCUAGGCACAGCUAGGGCCUGUUGUAUUCCUUCUGGCCCAUAAAAAUUCUCCAUGGAGUUUCGUGGCAUUUGGACUCCAUCUGGUAUUGAUUUCCUGUGAUGUAAAAAACAUAGAAAAAACAGCAACUGGCACUUGGCACUAUGUCAAUAGGUUAGUACCAAAAAAUGAUAUAAAAUAACUAGAAAAUGAUUAUAAAAUAUCCAAGAUUGAUAAUAUAACAGCAUGAAACAAUCAAAAAUAAUAGAUACGUUGGAGACGUAUCAGCAUCCCCAAGCUUAACUCCUACUCGUCGUCGAGUAGGUAAGUGAUAAAAACAGAAUUUUGAUGUGGAAUGUUGCCUAACAUGUCAUAUCAUAUUUCUUUUCUUUAUAGCAUGGACAAUUGGACUUUUAUGUGAUUCAAAGCAAUAGUCUAGUUUUGACAUAAUAAUUUAGAUACUCGAGCAUAUCAACAAGCAACCAUGUCUUUCAAAAUAUCAACGCUAAAAUAAGUUAUCCCUAGCCCAUCAUGCUCGACCAUUGAUCCAUUCAUGAAACACACUUGAAUAUUAGCUACACCUAAUACUUAAGUACAAUCAUAUUGUCUCAUAGUUGGUGCUUUUAUAAGAGAAGGUGGAGAGUCGAAAUAAAAAUUACAUAAAGUAAAAGAAAGGACCUUCGCGGAGUGAAGUAGGGAUUUGUAGAGGUGCCAGAGCUCAAAGCGAAAAAAGUAGAGAUAAAAUAUUUUGGGAGGUGUAUCCAUCCCACCAACGAAAACGACUUAGAGUUCCCAACACUUUCCAUGCUAGAUAUAUCAUAGGCGGUUCCCAAACAGAAAAUAAAGUUUAUUCCCUUUUCCACCAUACUUUCACUUUACAUGGCUAACCGUAUCCACGGGUGCCCUCCUUACCAACGCUUUUCAAGGAAUUUAUUAUUUGACAACAUAAAGUAAAUUCAUUUUUUUUUUGCAUUUCGGGACUAGGCAUCCCUAAUACUUUUGUCUUACUCUCGUGCAAUGACAAGUGAAUAAACACUCAUUGUGAGAAUAACACAUCUAGCAUGGAAAAAAUUAGCCACCACUCACCGCUCCGCGAGCGAAACAAACACACAAAAGAGAAUUUUAUUUUAAAAAUUAGAGAUGGCACAUGCAAAUUUGCUUAGAACAACAAAAGAAUACCGCAUAUAGGUAGAUAUAGUGGACACAUGUGGCAAAACUGGUUUAAAGGAUUUUGGAUGCACAAGUAGAGAUCAUACUUGGUGCAAAAUGAAGGCUAACAAAAGAUUGAAAAGCGACCAACCAAGAAACGGAUAAUCUCAUAAGCAAGCAUUAAGCAUAAAUAACAGCGAACAAUGCACCACAAGUAGGAUAUAAUUUCAUUGUAUGACUAUUGACUUUCGUACUUGCAUAGGGAAUCACAAACCUUAACACCAAUAUUCUUACUAAAGCAUAAUUACUCAUCAACAUAACUCACAUAUCACAUCAUCAUAUCUCAAAACUAUUACUAAGAGUCUAGUUUAUUUUGUCCAAUGAUCUUCAUGGAAGUUUUUAUUAUAUCCUUCUUGAAGGGUGUGCACACUCAAAAAUAUCUCCAUAAUCCAAAUGUCAUAGUAUGAUAUUUGGCAAAAGCAUAACAUAAGUAGGUCAAUCAAGUCUCACAACAAAGCGGCGGCGACGGCGCAGGGGAGGGGAGCGACGCCGCGAUGGCGAGCACCUAUUGGGCCCUUGAGCGGAGGGGGCGGCGGCGACGAGAGGAAGGGAGUGGCGGCGAGGUGAGGGGAGGGUCUAGUUGAAAGGUGGACGGCCGAUUAAGGUCAUCCUCUCUUACAUAGUGUGAUGAAAUAGACAGUGCGGGAUAUUGGGUUUUUAGGACUGUAGGUUUAUUGGACGAAAUAGUCAAAUUACAAAUUCUGUGUGAGCCACGACUCACCGGUCCGCCAAUGGUACUAACCCCGCGAUGUGCCCACAUAUUUUUUUUUCAAGAAUGAGGUGAACUCACAUAUCAUAAUCCUUGUGUGUCGCAUGGUCCAAUAAGUCAUACAGUGAAUCGUGCUGAAUUGGGAUCGAACAAGCAACACCGUCCUAGUUGGCGGUCGGCUUAUCACUAGACUAUAAGUAGAGUGUUGUGAACAUUUUGGGACGGAAACUCUUUAUAUGUUUUCUAAACUAAAUUUUUCCACAAAUUCAACUUUUAAUUUUAAAAAGUUUGAAAAUCCGGAAUUUUUACAUUUUUAAAGAACAAAAAUCCCUUCUUCAAAGGGAAUUUUUUUCUACCUUUCCAUCUGCAUUUUUUAUUUAUAGGUACCAUGCCACUUUUAUUAUAGGUCACAUGGCAGUUUUUUUAUUAAUACGAUAUUUGCAAUUUAAUAAGUAAUAGGAUGCCAUUUUUUAUCAUUAAGAGCAUGGCAUUUUAUUAAUAGUACCAUGGCAUUUUUAUUAUUAGAAAGAUAGCAUUUUUAUUAUUAAUUAGAUGUUAGUUUUAUUAUUGGGGACAUGGGAUUUUCAUUAUUUGUUGACAUGUUAUUUUUAUUAUCAGGAGGAUGGCAGUUUAAUUAUUAACAUGAUGAAAGUUUUUAUUAUAUAGAGAAUGUCAUUUUUUCAUUAUUGACAUGACAUUUUUAUUAUUAGGAGGAUUACAAUUUUAUUAUAUAGAGCAUGGCAUUUUAUUAUUAUUAUUGACAUGUCAUUUCUAUUGUUAGAAGGAUGACAUUUUUUGGACUAGCAUUUUUUAUUAAUUGUUACGAGAAUGAUAGUUUUAUUAUUAGGAGGAUGGUAGUUUUUAUUUUGAAUUGCAUGGCAUUUUUGUCAUUGAUAUGACAGAUUUUUAAUAUUUUUUUGCACAGUGGAACAAAUCAAGCAAAAAAAUUACAUCGUAGCAAUUUUUUGGUCCUUGACAAAGAUAAAGGAAACCACGCGCUCCCAAACAUGUUAUUUUUUACUGCGGAACAUCUAUAGGGUGGAAUUCAUAACAUUUGUAAAAUUAUAGAUUAUCAUGGCAUUUUUUGUAAAGUAACAUGACAUUUUUCGUAUUAUUCAUAUCAUGGCAAUUAUAUAUUUACGUGUACUCCAUUUUCAUAAGAAAAAUAUGUUCUUCCAUUAAAAAAUGUAAUCCGGGCAUUUUGGGCCAAUGGAGGUUCACCUUGGCCUUUCCCUGGAAACGAUCGAGGGGAGGGUGUUACGUUCGCUGGGACUGCCCCCUUGGUGACCACUUUGUUCGAUCAACUCUCUUCCCUGGCGAUCGAACACCAGUUAUUCAGGUCCUUUAUUAGUUUAUUUAUAGGUAGUGUAGGGAAGAGAACAAUGGCACAUGGAAACUAUAGGCCAAACGUUCGCUUUUUGGUAUUAACAAGCGAAAACUCGCAAGCCGGCAAAUAGGGGAAGGACGAAGAGAAAGAAGUAGGAAGGGAGAGGUGGACUAAAGGUGUACAGCCCAGAGCUACCCGGUCAUUUUUUUGCGAAUUGCUUGGUAAAAAAAUAGCGUUGAAUAGUUGCCUAGGUGUGUGUUUGGAUUAAGUUUUUGUAGAACUUGGGUUGGAUUAUUUGAUCACUACCACAAAGAAAAUAUUAUUUGGUCGCUAGGAAUGAAUCAUUUAUUACAAACUACAUGUUUUUUGAGCUAACUAGGGAAACCGACAUAUAGGCCAUAUGUUUAGGACGUUGGCAUGGGGAGUUCUUAUUAGACGCAUUCUGCGUCAAACAGCCGCGCGACGCAUGCACGGAACCCCCGGCAGGGCUGGCUCAAUAACGGGCGCGCUGCGAUGUUAAUGUUAAAAAAAUAGCAAGCAUGCACGCUGUCCUGCCAAGAUUCGACCUCUGGACCUCCAUAUUGCGUACGAGAGAAGCUAACCGCCAGACAUAACAAGCUCCCCUAAAAAAAAGACAUAACAAUUGUUGGUGCUAAAUGUAAAGCGUGCUAGUAUAAGUACUAAUACCAAUGAAGAAUCUGGACAGUUUUUUGAAUUUUGUCAACCUUUCCUUCGAAAUUGUUAUUUUUUUAACAAACGAGCAAAGUUUCAAAAUACGAUAUUUUUUUCACAACUCAGACCUGUUUUCAAAUUUCAAAAAAUAAAACAAAAGACGUGAACAUUUGUCAACAGAUUUAUUUUUAUAUUCCCGAACAUUUGCCGAAAACCCGUACAUUUAUAGAAUUUUGAGAACAAAAUUUGAUAAUGGGAACAAUUUUCAAAAGCACAAACUGUUUCUGGGAAAAAAGGAACAAAAUUGAAAGCAAGAACAUUAUAUGAAAUUGCGAACAAUAUUUGAAAAAAUGUGAACACUUUAAAAUUUGCGAACAUUUUUUUAAAUAGAACAUUUUAGGAAUCUAAAAAAAGGAAAAAUAAACAGAAAAUGAAAACAUUUUAAAUUUUUUUGAACAUGCGAUCAUUUUUGAAAAACUAAAACAUAAUCUAAAACCAUUUUUUCAAAAAAUACGUCACUUUUCAAAUCGCAAACAUUUUAGGAAAUUUGGAAAAUAUUUUUGUUAUUUGUGAAUAGAUAUUGGAAAUAGAAUACUUUUUGAAUUUGUGAGCAAAAUUUGAAAACAUCAACAUUUUCUGAAAACACGAACAUUUUUUUGGAACCUCAAACAUUUUUGAAAAAAGGGGGGAAAAUGAAAACAAGAACAUUUUUCAAAACUGGGAACAAUUUUUUGAAAAUGCGAACUUUUUAGAAAACAGGAACAAAACUAAAACCACAAAAAAUUUCUGAAUUUAUGAAGAAAUGUAGAAAACAAGAUUUUUUUUUGAAUUUGCGAACAAAUUUGAAAAAGGGAACAUUUUUCAAAAUUCUAGAAAAACUUACAUGUUUCUGAAAAAAAUAAAAAUCCGUACAUUUAUUCGAACAUUUAUCUAAUGCCUGAACCUUUGUUCAAAAAGAAAAAUAAACUUGAAAAAUAAAAAGAAAAUAAAAUAGUGAACGAAGAGAAAAGAAAAAGAAAUAAGAGAUAAAAGAAGAAAAACAACAAAGAAAAACGAAAAAAUGAAAAAAAACAGAAAAAAAAAAAACGGUUCAGGAACCUGCUGGAAGGUUCCCAAAAUCAAAAAGAAUCGGCUGUUACAUCCUCGAAGUCUCCGAAAACCAGGAAUCCUGAAAACCCUUAACGGCCGGCCCACCUGGAAUGAUCGCUCGAUCGCCUGUGCGUUUUCCCGACAUUUUGCCGCAGCGAGCGGCAUAUAGGGUUUUCCAUUGGCAUGGUCGUGAACUCUCUUGUUCAACCAAAACUAGUAUUCAAAUAAAUUGAGCCCAUAAUGUGAGAGUCGGUAGUCCCGGUAUAUAUAGCCCAUUAAAAAAGUACAAUACAACAUCCGAUUCAGGCACUGAUUUUUAAUACAGCAUCCUCUCCCUUUCUGUAUUGCCUGAACCUCCUCGUAGCAUCCUCCACCUGAUGGUAGUACAAUCAGUAGGUAAAUCAUAGUAAUCUCAACGUCAUAGUUUUUCUUCUUCAGUUGAUACACUUUUGAAGCAUCUGAAUUGGUCUUUUCUGUUUGCUGCUUCGUCGGUAUACAGUAGCAUGUUCAACAGUUGUCGGCAGUAGUCGAUCUAUAUUGCUAUGUAAACUGGACUUUGUCUGCAUAAAGAAAUCCUACUUGAGGGCAGAAGACUAGAUUCUCCAAAAGAAACAAUAUCGGAUGAGUUCCCAGAUUAUAAACUAUGGGAUGAGUUCCCAAAAGAAAAUCCUACUUGUAUGUCCAUUCUAAUUUGUUUCCUUCAUGUCUACCUACAGGAUUUCUUAUUUUGAUUUGAGGCAACCGCGUGUUUUUAUUUUGGGUAAUACUCCCUCCUUCCCACAUUAUAAGAUGUUUUGGCAAGUUAAAUGGUAUGCCAAAACGUCUUAUGUGACGAAGGGAGUACACGAUUAAAUCCGAAGCUAGUGGGAGCUUGAAUUUCAUUCAUUACUGGCUUUGUGCCGAUAUUUUGCUUGGACUACUAUUUUCUACAUAUCUGAAUUUUAUAUACUUCCGGGAGUUGUCUAGUUAUGUAUCCCAAACCUUGUCUUUGCAACUUGAAGUAUUUACCAAACACUAUAGUUAAUUAAGUAAAUGAUGUAUCAAGCAUAUCAUAUUUCUGAUUCAUUGCUUCUGGUGCUCUAGUUGUUUUAUUGAUGGUUGGUGAUGCAUCUAGCUAGAUAGCUGGUUGCAGUCAGGUAAUUCCUGACCAUGUGAAAGCCCACAACUGCGUGAUGAAGUUUCUAUGGUGUUUAUGGUUCUGAAAAUAAUUGUUACACAAAUAAUUCUUUCAAUUCUUGAAAGUUCAUGCUCUUAUCAAAAGUCUUCGCGAGAUGAACUUCUGCCCAUGUGCACAUAAACUAGAGGUCUGUUUGGAUGACGCCGAAGACAGCCCCGCCAAAAUUUUGGUGGGGUAGCUAUGGGCUACAAUCCAAACAGACAGUUUUUGUAAGAUUACUAAUAUUCUGUCAAUCCAUCGUUUAUGCUUUUUAUCUUACGGGUUAGGUUUUGGAAGCUACACUCCCCAACCGCAUGAUUUGUGCUUUUUAUCCUACAUGUUUAUGUAUUUCGAUAAAAAUAUAUUACUGAUACAUCUUCAACGUAUGUAUAAUUUUUGAUUGCUCCAUGCUAUAUUAUCUACUGUUUUGGACAUUAUUGGGCUUUAUUUUCAGCUUUUAUAUUAUUUUUGGGACUAACCUAUUAACUGGAGGCCCAGUCCAGAAUUGCUGUUUUUUGCCUGUUUUAGGGUUUCGAAGAAAAGGAAUAUCAAACGGAGUCCAAACGGAAUGAAACCUUCGGGAACGUGAUUUUCUCAACGAACAAGACCCGGGAGACUUGGACCCUACGUCAAGACACAAAAGAGGAAGCCACGAGGUAGGGGGCGCGCCUACUCCCCCAGGCGCGCCCUCCAUACUCGUGGGCCCCCUGUUGCUCCCCCGACGUACUCCUUCCUCCUAUAUAUACCUACAUACCCCCAAACGAUCAGAUACGGAGCCAAAAACCUAAUUCCACUGCCGCAACUUUCUGUAUCCACAAGAUCCCAUCUUGAGGCCUGUUCCGAAGCUCCGCCGGAGGGGGCAUCGAUCACGGAGGGCUUCUACAUCAACUCCAUAGCCCCUCCGAUGAAGUGUGAGUAGUUUACCUCAAACCUACGGGUCCAUAGUUAUUAGCUAGAUGGCUUCUUCUCUCUUUUUGGAUCUCAAUACAAUGUUCUCCCCCUCUCUUGUGAAGAAAUAUUCGAUGUAAUCUUCUUUUUGCGGUGUGUUUGUUGAGAACGAUGAAUUGUGGGUUUAUGAUCAAGUCUAUCUAUGAACAAUAUUUGAAACUUCUCUGAAUUCUUUUAUGUAUGAUUGGUUAUCUUUGCAAGUCUCUUCGAAUUAUCAGUUUGGUUUGGCCUACUAGAUUGAUCUUUCUUGCAAUGGGAGAAGUGCUUAGCUUUGGAUUCAAUCUUGCGGUGUCCUUUCCCAGUGACAGUAGGGGCAGCAAGGCACGUAUUGUAUUGUUGCCAUCGAGGAUAACAAGAUGGGGUUUUCAUCAUAUUGCAUGAGUUUAUCCCUCUACAUCAUGUCAUCUUGCUUAAGGCGUUACUCUAUUUUUAACUUAAUACUCUAGAUGCAUGCUGGAUAGCGGUCGAUGAGUGGAGUAAUAGUAGUAGAUGCAGGCAGGAGUCGGUUUACUUGUCUCGGACGUGAUGCCUAUAUACAUGAUCAUACCUAGAUAUUCUCAUAACUAUGCUCAAUUCUGUCAAUUGCUCAACAGUAAUUUGUUCACCCACCGUAGAAUACUUAUGCUCUCGAGAGAAGCCACUAGUGAAACCUAUGGUCCCCGGGUCUAUCUUUAUCAUAUUAAUCUCCUACUACUUAGUUAUUUUCUUUGCUUUUUACUUUGCCUUUAUUUUACUUUGCAUCUUUAUCACAAAAAUACCAAAAAUAUUAUCUUAUCAUAUCUAUCAGAUCUCACUCUCGUAAGUGGCCGUGUAGGGAUUGACAACCCCUAUUCGUGUUGGUUGCGAGGAUUUAUUUGUUUUGUGCAGGUACGAGGGACUCGCGCGUAGCCUCCUACUGGAUUGAUACCUUGGUUCUCAAAAACUGAGGAAAAUACUUUCGCUACUUUGCUGCAUCAUCCCUUCCUCUUCGGGGAAAACCAACACAGUGCUCAAGAGGUAGCAAUUACUCUCUCCGAUCCAAAUUAGUUAUCGCUCUAAUGGAUGUAUUUAGCAUUGAAAUACAUCUCGAUAUAUCCAUUUCGGUGACAAGUAAUAUGGAUUGGAGGGAGCACUCAACCAUUUUAUUUCUUCGUUCCAUAGUCAUCUGCCUCUAUUUAGCCUCUGACCCGAUCCUUGCAAGUUAUAUCUUGUUUAAGUUCGUCAUGGUGGCACGGCUCUGCUUGCUUCGUUAAUUCUAUUAUGUCUCCGUUAAUCCCCAUAUCAAACUUUAAGGCUGACAAUAACUUUGUGACAUUGUUCUUUUUAUUGUAACUAUGGCAGAGAUGGAUAAUAGUGGCUUAGUUAUGUGUUCACUGUGUGCCUUUGUCUCUUAGCACCUACAGUGUUGGAUGACACUUUUGCAUUGAACAAUUCAGUAAACCCAACAGUAUAACCACCGCACAUGCCUUCAACAAGACAUGAAAACAUCCUCGGCAACAAUAUGAAGUGUACUACAACCAAAGCCGCUAGGACAUAAAAACUAGAGUGCGCCAUAACUGAGCCACGAAUAUCAUACAGUACAAUGUUUGCACAAUAUCAUAUGGUCUGUCACCAAAGAUAGCAAGAACAAAUUGCAGUAUUUUGAAGAAUUGUUCACAAUCAAGUUGAUCAAUACUUUAUCACUGUUUUGAGCACAUAGACAUUGAACCUGCCUUAAGAAAAAGGGUUUUCCCCCGCUUUAGAUUAUAAAGCAACAUCCAACCAAUACAACCAGUUUGCUGGGGCCGGAGCACAAACAAGCCCAAAAGAAAAAGGAGAGAAAGAAAAAAGAAACAAAUGCUGACGCCGGCAGCUCAACUAAGCAAAGAUUAUAGAACACUUUAUCCAUCAUUCGUUCGACGUUCAAUUAUGCUUUUUUUUAAUAAUACAAUUUUUUUUAUUAAUUUGCAAAAAUAUUACGCUUAAAAAAAGAAUUUUAGAAAUAAUAAACCAUCGGCCCGCUGCGGACCGACUGGGCCUAGUCAGCCCACAAUAGGCCGACUGGGUGCACUCGGCCAGUAGCAGGCCGACAGCUGGCCAGCCUGCGACGUGUCGCGCGCGGAUUGGGCAGGCCACGUCGCGAGGGGGGAGAGAGGGAGCUGUCGGCGCGGCGGUCACAGGGGAGCCCCUUUCAACUUAUCGCGGGCCGAUCGGCCAGCUGCGGGCCGAUCGGCCAGCUGCGGGCCGACAGGGUGUGGACCCAUCUCACGCGGCAUGGCCGGCUCCCUGCGUCUUCUUCCUCCUCCCACGCGAGUGUUCUUCUUCUGUUCUUUCCUUCUCCUCUCUGUACACCAAAAUGCCCCCAAUUUCUACACCUAAAUGAACCAUUUAUUUGUGGAUUUGGCACCGUGAAUGGAUUCUACUUAGUUAGGGCAACCAAAAGAGACCUCGAUCUACUGAUGGGGUAGCUCGUGGCGGUCGUGGUGAGCAUUUAGGUGGAGCUUUUUUCCAGCUCAUUGGUGGAGCUUGUUGCGGCGGUGGAGGUGGAGGUGGUGGUGGAGAAGUUGGGGCAGUGUGGUGGAGGCGGUGGAGGUGAAGCUCCGGCAGUUUGGUGGAGUUUCCCGCUCUGAUUCCGGUGAUUGAAGGCCGCCGUUCGUCAUUCGCACACACGCUUCAAGGGUAUAUUUCAACCAACAUUUUAUUUUUCAUAGGUGCUCCGGUAGUAUUUGUUAAUAUGUUUCGAUGUGAAAUAAAUUAGGUGUGUGAUUAUUGUUAGUUGCUCCGGUAGUAUACGUAAAUAUAUUUAGAUGUUAACUAAUUAGUUGUGUAAAAAUUUGUAGUUGCUCCGGUAGUAUUAGUUGCUCCGUUAAUAUUCUGUAAUAUAUAGCUAGCUAAUAUAUAGACAUGUCUAAUAUUUGUUAGUGGGGGUAUAUUAAGUUGUUGCUUAAUACUUGUAUUUCGUUGUUGAAAAAAAAUAGGUGAGCCGAGAUGUCCGAUGUAGUGAACUUCAGAUUUUGCUAUGGUCCUGGUACUGUCCAAACAACUGAGAUGGGAGCAGAUCUGAGUGAAUUUACUCAUAUAGAUGUGCCAAACAUGGUCUGUCAGUCAGUUGAAAGAAUGGAUUGCGGCAAGUUUAGGUCUUGAUACUGAAACACACACCGUCGGUGUUCAUGCAUUGUGGACACGGUCAAGUUCAAUAAUUUACUUUUAUUUGAGGCCGAUAGAGCGAGACUCCGAAUGGGUGCGGUGGUUACAAGGUUGUGAACAAAGGGGAUGCAAUCCUGUUGCUUUAGUGCUUCCCGUCGUGAAGGAGGUCACUGCACAUGAAGGCGAGGGUGGCUACGAUCCUGGUCAUAGCAGUGUAGGGAGGCAGUUAUCUAUGUCAAAUGCUGAAGAUGAUGGUUAUGAACAAGGACAGAGAAGUCAGGUAGAAGGAGGAAAUGCUUAUGGUUAUGAACCAGGGCAGAGUAGUCAGGUAGAAGGAGGAGAUGCCGAUGGUGAUUACAAUGGCGAGGUGGACGCUGACGAGGUAGAUGGGCACAUGCAGGACCAGAUGGAAGAAGAAGACAUCGAUGUUGAAAGGGGUCAUGCCGAUGAUUCUGACGAGUCAGAUGAAGAAGAAAAUGCAGAGGAGGUCCCGAAUCCUGCAUCGUGGAAUCAUGACUUCUCAUCUGCAAUGACCGUGAAUGAUGGACAUGAUUCAACCUGACAAUAUCACCAGAACAAUAUUGCGACGGGUGCUAUGUAUCCGAACAAGCAAGCCCUGAAAGAUGCAAUAAUUAACUGGGCAAUGUCCACGCAAAGGGUUUUUACAGCUCAGGUGUCCAGUCAGAAAUUCCUGACAAUGGUAUGCAAGAACGCAGAUUGUCCCGCCAAGGUGCACGGCUUUCUCCCUAAGUAUGGCACAAGUUGGGUGAUAAGUGACUUAGUUAAUCAUAGUUGUCUUAUUCCCUGCAUCCCUCAGGAUCAUGCCAACCUUUCAUCGACGCUUAUUGCUCGGUUGUUUUACGAUGAGAUAGUGCAGGCCAAAGCUAUGGAAGUGAAGGCAGUCCAGACAAAAGUCUUCGCCAGGUUCAAGUCCAUAACUUCUUAUGGAAAGGCUUGGAGGGCUAAGCAUGCGGCGCUUGAGAGGAGAUUUGGUUCUUAUUUUGAUGCAUAUGACUCUGUUGUCCAGCUCCUCCACACCCUGCAGCAGCGGAAUCCAGGCACCUAUAUCGAUAUCCAAGACAUGUUCAUGCCAGAGUUCCCAACUGUGAGGGUGUUGCAUCGUCUCUUCUUCUCUUUCGGUGUAUGCAUCGAAGCUUUCAGGCAUUGCCAACCGGUGAUAUGUGUUGACGGUACUUUUCUCACAGGCAAGUACAAGGGUCAGAUCCUGACAGCCAUUGGUCAAGACGGCCAAAAUCAAGUCGUCCCACUCGCAUUUGCUUUUGUGGAGAGUGAGAACAUUGAAAGUUGGACAUGGUUCUUCAGGCAGUUGAAAAUAUCAGUUGUGAAGGAGAAGCCCAAUGUGUGCAUCCUUCAUGACAGGCAUGCAGGUAUACUCAGUGCGAUAAGGACACUGACAAACCCAGGCCCUGAGGAACAAGUUCCAUGGCAGGACUUGCAGAGCCAUUGGUGCAUGCGCCUUCUGGGGGCUAAUUUCUUCUCGCAGUUUAGAAAUAAGAACCUGAUGAAUCUGUUCAAAAAACUCUGCAAGCAGAACCAGUUAUAGAAGUACAAUUUGAUACGCGACAGACUUAAUGUGUGCACGCAGAGACACGUGAGGGACAGGAAAGUUGCAAGAGAUGCAGCGGUGAGGGCACAUGUUGAAGCAGUAGCUGCACAGUUGGCAACAAGAACAACGGCCGUGGAGGAGGAGCCUGUUGGGCUAUGUGACCUGCCAGGCUUUGACCCACCUGGUACUAGGAGAAGGCUUGGUAGGUCGAUUAAAACCUUCGAGCAGUGGAUAGAGCAUGAGCCUCUGGAGAGAUGGUCUUUGCUACAUGACACACAUGGAACAAGGUACGGUGUCAUGACAACGAACCUCGCGGAAACAUACAACUUUGUUCGCAGAGGAAACCGGGCAUUGCCACUUACAGCCAUCGUUGAGGCUAUUUUCUAUGGCACCGUCAAGUAUUUCAGAGAUAGACGUCAAAAAGCAGAGCAACAUAUCUUCAACAACCCGAAUACACGGUACUGUGAAAGAGUCACGAAGUACAUGGACAACAAGAUGCAAAAAGCUAGGUCACACACUGUAGUCGCCAUCGGUAAUCAAGAAAGAAGGUUUGAGGUCCGCUUAGCCAACAACAAAUUUGGAUGUGCAAAUGAGUUGAGGACGCGUGAGGUGAAAAUUGGUAAUGAAGCCUGGCCAACGUGUGAGUGCACAUGCAACAAACCGAAAUUGCUUCACCUACCUUGCUCACAUGUACUUGCUGCUUGCGGGCAGCUUGGAAUGGACGCAAUAUCGUUUGUGUCUCCAUUUUUUCUGAAAGAGUCUGUCCUCAAUACCUGGACAGGUGAGCUGAUGGGUUUUCGAUCAAUGGGUAAUUUCAACAGCGUCAACCCCGCUGAAAGGCAUUACAUUCCAAACCCAGAGCAUAUGUGUACAAGUAGAGGCACACGACAGUGUCAGCGCAUCCGGAAUGAUAUGGAUGAAUCUGAAGCAGGAGGUCCGACUAGGCAAUGCAUUCUAUGCAAUGAAUUUGGCCAUAGGGACACUAAUUGUCCCACUUUCGUCACUGGGCGUGGACGAGGCAACCGGGGAAGAAGAGGAGGUAGAGGCAGUAGAGGAGUAAGGGCGAGAGGAAGAAGCUAAGCUAGCAGUAGUAUGUUCUGAAUUUGUAUUAAGUGUGGCACUAUGUUCUGAAUUUGUAUUAAGUGUGGCACUAUGUUCUGAAUUUGUAUUAAGUGUGGCACUAUGUUCUGAAUUUUUAUUAAGUGUGGCACCAUGUUCUGAAUUUUUAUUAAGUGUGACACUAUGUUAUGAAUUUGUAUUUAGUGUGGCGCUAUGUUCUGAAUUUUUAUUAAGUGUAGCACUAUGUUCUGAUUUUUUUAUGUGCAGGAAUGUCAGGAAUGUGUUGCUGAAUGGGGACAUUGAUAGGGGUCAUCGUGGUGCGAUAUGGUAUGAGCGCAAGCUUGAGCCUCUGGUCACUCGCACUCCUAAGGAAAACUGGAUGAUACACCCAGGAUGGCUUCAGCGGUACGUGCUUUAUUAAUUUGCACACUGACUGUUGGGUUUCGUAGUAAUUUCAAAAAAUUUCCUACGCACACGCAAGAUCAUGUGAUGCAUAGCAACGAGGGGGAGAGUAUUGUCUACGUACCCAACACAGACCGACUGCGGAAGCGAUGACACGACGUAGAGGAAGUAGUCGUACGUCUUCACGAUCCAACCGAUCAAGCACCGAAACUACGGCACCUCCGAGUUCGAGCACACGUUCAGCUCGAUGACGAUCCCCGGACUCCGAUCCAGCAAAGUGUCGGGGAAGAGUUCCGUCAGCACGACGGCGUGGUGACGAUCUUGAUGAACUACAGCAGCAGGGCUUCGCCUAAACUCCGCUACAGUAUUAUCGAGGAAUAUGGUGGCAGGGGGCACCGCACACGGCUAAGGAACAGAUCACGUGGAUCAACUUGUGUCAACUUGUGUGUUAUGGGGUGCCCCUGCCUCAGUAUAUAAAGGAGCCAAAGGGGGGAGGAGGCGCCGGCCAGGAGGAGGUGGCGCAGGAGGAGUCCUACUCCUACCGGGAGUAGGACUCCCCUCCAAUCCUAUUCCAACUAGGAAUCCCCAAAGGGGGAAAGAGGAGAAGGGUGGCCGGCCACCUCUCCUAGUCCUAAUAGGAGUAGGGGAAGGGGGGAGGCACGCAGCCCUGGUGGGCAGCCCUUUCACCUUUCCACUAAGGCCCAUGAAGGCCCAUAUGGCUCCCGGGGGGUUCCGGUAACCUCCCGGUAACCCGGUAAAAUCCCGAUUUCACCCGGAACACUUCCGAUGUCCAAACAUAGGCUUCCAAUAUAUCAAUCUUUAUGUCUCGACCAUUUCGAGACUCCUCGUCAUGUCCGUGAUCACAUCCGGGACUCCGAACAACCUUCGGUACAUCAAAAUGCAUAAACUCAUAAUAUAACUGUCAUCGUAACCUUAAGUGUGCGGACCCUACGGGUUCGAGAACAAUGUAGACAUGACCGAGACACGUCUCUGGUCAAUAACCAAUAGCGGGACCUGGAUGCCCAUAUUGGCUCCUACAUAUUCUACGAAGAUCUUUAUCGGUCAGACCGCAUAACAACAUAUGUUGUUCCCUUUGUCAUCGGUAUGUUACUUGCCCGAGAUUCGAUCAUCGGUAUCCAAUACCUAGUUCAAUCUCGUUACUGGCAAGUCUCUUUACUCGUUCCGUAAUACAUCAUCUCACAACUAACAUAUUAGUUGUAAUGCUUGCAAGGCUUAUGUGAUGUGUGUUACCGAGAGGGCCCAGAGAUACCUCUCCGACAAUCGGAGUGACAAAUCCUAAUCUCGAAAUACGCCAACCCAACAUCGACCAUUGGAGACACCUGUAGUACUCCUUUAUAAUCACCCAGUUACGUUGUGACGUUUGGUAGUACCCAAAGUGUUCCUCCGGUAAACGGGAGUUGCAUAAUCUCAUAGUCAUAGGAACAUGUAUAAGUCAUGAAGAAAGCAAUAGCAACAUACUAAACGAUCAGGUGCUAAGCUAAUGGAAUGGGUCAUGUCAAUCAGAUCAUGCAACUAAUGAUGUGACCUCGUUAAUCAAAUAACAACUCACUGUUCAUGGUCAGGAAACAUAACCAUCUUUGAUUAACGAGCUAGUCAAGUAGAGGCAUACUAGUGACACUCUGUUUGUCUAUGUAUUCACACAUGUAUUAUGUUUCCGGUUAAUACAAUUCUAGCAUGAAUAAUAAACAUUUAUCAUGAUAUAAGGAAAUAAAUAAUAACUUUAUUAUUGCCUCUAGGGCAUAUUUCCUUUAGUCUCCCACUUGCACUAGAGUCAAUAAUCUAGUUCACAUCGCCAUGUGAUUUAACAGCAAUAGUUCACAUCACCAUGUGAUUAACACCCAUAGUUCACAUCGCUAUGUGACCAACACCCAAAGGGUUUACUAGAUUCAGUAAUCUAGUUCACAUCGCUAUGUGAUUAACACCCAAGGAGUACUAAGGUGUGAUCAUGUUUUGCUUGUGAGAGAAUCUUAGUCAACGGGUCUGCCACAUUCAGAUCCUCAUGUAUUUUGCAUAUUUCUAUGUCAACAAUGCUCUGCAUGGAGCUACUCUAGCUAAUUGCUCCCACUUUCAAUAUGUAUCUAGAUCGAGACUUAGAGUCAUCUAGAUUAGUGUUAAACUUGCAUCGGCGUAACCCUUUACGACGAACCUUUAUCCAUAAUCGAGAAACAUAUCCUUAUUCCACUAAGGACAAUUUUGACCGCUCUCCAGUGAUCUACUCCUAGAUCACUAUUGUACUCCCUUGCCAAACUCAGUGGUAUGGCAUACAAUAGAUCUGGUAUACAGCAUGGCAUACUUUAUAGAACCUAUGAUUGAGGCAUAGGGAAUGACUUUCAUUCUCUUUCUAUUUUCUGCCGUGGUCGGGCUUUGAGUCUUACUCAACUUCACACCUUGCAACACAGGCAAGAACUCCUUCUUUGACUAUUCCAUUUUGAACUAUUUCAAAAAUUUAUCAAGGUAUGUAUUCAAUCAAGCGUCUUCAUCUAUCUAUAUAGAUCUUGAUGCUCAAUGUGUAAGCAGCUUCACCAAGGUCUUUCUUUGAAAAACUUUUAUUCAAGUAUCCUUUCAUGCUUUGCAGAAUAAUUCUACAUUAUUUCCGAUCAACAAUAUGUCAUUCACAUAUACUUAUCAGAAAUGUUGUAGUGCUCUCACUCACUUUCUUGUAAAUACAGGCUUCACCGUAAGUCUGUACAAAAAAUAUAUGCUUUGAUCAACUUAUCAAAGCGUAUAUUCCAACUCCGAGAUUCUUGCACCAGUCCAUAAAUGGAUCGCUAGAGCUUGCACACUUUGUUAGCUCCCUUUGGAUCGACAAAACCUUCCGGUUGCAUCAUAUACAACUCUUCUUCCAGAAAUCCAUUCAGGAAUGCAGUUUUGACAUCCAUCUGCCAAAUUUCAUAAUCAUAAAAUGCGGCAAUUGCUAACAUGAUUCAGACAGAUUUUUAAGUAUCGAUACGAGUAAGAAAAUCUCAUCGUAUUCAACACCUUGAACUUUGUCAAAAACCUUUUUCGACAAGUCUAGCUUUGUAGAUAGUAACACUACUAUCAACGUCCGUCUUCCUCUUGAAGAUCCAUUUAUUCUUAAUGACUCACCGAUCAUCGGGCAAGUCAAUCAAAGUCUACACUUUGUUCUCAUACAUGGAUCAUAUCUCAGAUUUCAUGGCCUCAAGCCAUUUCAUGGAAUCUGGGCUCAUCAUUGCUUCCUCAUAGUUCGUAGGUUCAUCAUGGUCUAGUAACAUGACUUCCAGAACAUGAUUAUCGUACCACUCUGGUGCGGAUCUUACUCUGGAAGACCUACGAGGUUUGGUAGUAACUUGAUCUGAAGUUUGAUGAUCAUCAUCAUUAACUUCCUCACUUAUUGGUGUAGGAAUCACUGGAACUGAUUUCUGUGAUGAACUACUUUCCAAUAAGGGAGAAGGUAUAAUUACCUCAUCAAGUUCUACUCUCCUCCCACUCACUUAUUUCGAGAGAAACUCCUUCUCUGGAAAGGAUCCAUUUUAGCAACGAAUGUCUUGCCUUCGGAUCUGUGAUAGAAGGUGUACCCAACAAUUUCCUUUGGGUAUUCUAUGAAGACGCACUUCUCCGAUUUAGGUUCGAGCUUAUCAGGAUGAAACUUUUUCACAUAAGCAUCGCAGCCCCAAACUUUAAGAAACAACAGCUUAGGUUUACUGCUAAACCAUAGUUCAUACAGUGUCGUCUCAACGGAUUUAGAUGGUGCCCUAUUUUAAAACGUGAAUGCAGCUGUCUCUAAUGCAUAACCCCAAAACGAUAGUGGUAAAGAGAUAUCAUAGAUCGCACCAUAUCAAAUAAAGUGCGGUUACGACAUUCGGACACACCAUAACGAUGUGGUGUUCCAGGUGGCGUGAGCUGUGAAACUAUUCCACAUUGUUUUAAUUGAAGACCAAACUCGUAACUCAAAUAUUUGUCUCCGCGAUCAGAUCGCAGAAACUUUAUUUUCUUGUUACGAUGAUUUUUCCACUUCACUCUGAAAUUCUUUGAACCUUUCAACUAUUUCAGACUUAUGUUUCAUCAAGUAGAUAUACCCAUAUCUGCUCAAAUCAUCUUGUGAAGGUCAGAAAACAACGAUGCUUGCCACGAUCAUCAGCACUCAUUGGAUCGCAUACAUCGGUAUGUAUUAUUUCCAAUAAGUCAGUAGCUCGUUCCAUUGUUCCGGAGAACGGAGUUUUAGUCAUCUUGCCCAAAAGGCACAGUUCGCAAGCAUCAAGUGAUUCAUAAUCAAGUGAUUCCAAAAUUCCAUCAGUAUGGAGUUUCUUCAUGCGUUUUACACCAAUAUGACCUAAACGGCAGUGCUACAAACAAGUUGCACUUAUCAUUAUUAACUUUGCAUCUUUUGGUUUCAAUAUUAUGAUUAUGUGUAUCACUACGAUCGAGAUCCAACAAACUAUUUUCAUUGGGUGUGUAACCAUAUAAGGUUCUAUUCAUGUAAACAGAACAACAAUUUAUUCUCUUACUUAAAUGAAUAAUCGUAUUACAAUAAACAUGAUCAAAUCAUAUUCAUGCUCAACGCAAACACCAAAUAACACUUAUUUAGGUUCAACACUAAUCCCGAAAGUAUAGGGAGUGUGUGACGAUGAUCAUAUCAAUCUUGGAACCACUUCCAACACACAUCGUCACUUUACCCUUAACUAGUCUCUGUUUAUUCUGCAACUCCCGUUUCGAGUUACUAAUCUUAGCAACUGAACUAGUAUCAAAUACUGAGGGUUUGCGAUAAACACUAGUAAAGUACACAUCAAUAACAUGUAUAUCAAAUAUACUUAUGUUCACUUUGCCAUCCUUCUUAUCCGCCAAUCACUUGGGGUAGAUCCGCUUCCAGUGACCAGUCCCUUUGCAGUAGAAGCACUUAGUCUCAGGCUUAGGACCAGACUUGGGCUUCUUCACUUGAGCAGCAACUUGCUUGCUGUUCUUCUUGAAGUUCCCCUUCUUCCCUCUGCGCUUUUCUUGAAACUAGUGAUCUUGUCAACCAUCAACACUUGAUGUUUUUCUUGAUUUCUACCUUCGUUGAUUUCAGCAUCACGAAGAGGUUGGGAGUUGUUUCCGUUAUCCCUUUGCAUAUUAUAGUUCAUCACGAAGUUCUACUAACUUGGUGAUGGUGACUAGAGAAUUCUGUCAAUCACUAUCUUAUCUGGAAGAUUAACUCCCACUUGAUUCAAGCGAUUGUAGUACCUAGACAAUCUGAGCACAUGCUCACUAGUUGAGCGAUUCUCCUCCAUCUUUUAGCUAUAGAACUUGUUGGAGAUUUCAUAUCUCUCAACUCGGGUAUUUGCUUGAAAUAUUAACUUCAACUCCUGGAACAUCUCAUAUGGUCCAUGACGUUCAAAACGUCUUUGAAGUCCCGAUUCUAAGCCGUUUAAGCAUGGUGCACUUAAACUAUCAAGUAGUCAUCAUAUUGAGCUAGCCAAACAUUCAUAACGUCUGCAUCUGCUCCUGCAACAGGUCUGUCGCCUAGCGGUGCAUCAAGGACAUAAUUCUUCUGUGCAGCAAAUGAGGAUAAACCUCAGAUCACGGAUCCAAUCCGCAUCAUUGCUACUAACAUCUUUCAACACAAUUUUCUCUAGGAACAUAUCAAAAUAAGCAAAUGAAAGCAACAACGCGAGCUAUUGAUCUACAACAUAGAUAUGCUAAUACUACCAGGACUAAGUUCAUGAUAAAUUAAAGUUCAAUUAAUCAUAUUACUUAAGAACUCCCACUUAGAUAGACAUCCCUCUAAUCAUCUAAGUGAUCACGUGAUCCAAAUCAACUAAACCAUGUCCGAUCAUCACGUGAGAUGGAGCAGUUUCAUUGGUGAACAUCACUAUGUUGAUCAUAUCUACUAUAUGAUUCACGCUCGACCUUUCGGUCUCCGUGUUCCGAGGCCAUAUCUGUAUAUGCUUGGCUCGUCAAGUAUAACCUGAGUAUUCCGCGUGCGCAACUGUUUUGCACCCGUUGUAUUUGAACGUAGAGCCUAUCACACCCGAUCAUCACGUGGUGUCUCAGCACGAAGAACUUUCGCAACAGUGCAUACUCAGGGAGAACACUUCUUGAUAAUUUAGUGAGAGAUCAUCUUAUAAUGCUACCGUCAAUCAAAGCAAGAUAAGAUGCAUAAAAAGAUAAACAUCACAUGCAAUCAAUAUAAGUGAUAUGAUAUGGCCAUCAUCAUCUUGUGCUUGUGAUCUCCAUCUCUGAAGCACCGUCAUGAUCACCAUCGUUACCGGCGCGACACCUUGAUCUCCAUCGUAGCAUCGUUGUCGUCUCGCCAAUCUUAUGCUUCCACGACUAUCACUACCGUUUAGUAAUAAAGUAAAGCAUUACAUCGCGAUUGCAUUGCAUACAAUAAAGCGACAACCAUAUGGCUCCUGCCAGUUGCCGAUAACUUGGUUACAAAACAUGAUCAUCUCAUACAAUAAAAUUCAGCAUCAUGCCUUGACCAUAUCACAUCACAACAUGCCCUGCAAAAACAAGUUAGACAUCCUCUACUUUGUUGUUGCAUGUUUUACGUGGCUGCUACGGGCUUAAGUAAGAACCAAUCUCACCUACGCAUCAAAACCACAACGAUAGUUUGUCAAAUAGACUCCGUUUUAACCUUCGCAAGGACCGGGCGUAGCCACACUCGGUUCAACUAAAGUUGGAGAGACAGUCGCCCGCAAGCCAUCUAUGUGCAAAGCACGUCGAGGGAACCGGUCUCGCGUAAGCGUAAGCGUAAGGUUGGUCCGGGUCGUCUCGUCCAACAAUACCGCCGAACCAAAGUAUGACAUGCUGGUAGGCAGUAUGACUUGUAUCGUCCACAACUCACUUGUGUUCUACUCGUGCAUAUAACAUCAACAUAAAUAACCUAGGCUCUGAUACAACUGUUGGGUUUCGUAGUAAUUUCAAAAAAUUUCCUACGCACACGCAAGAUCAUGUGAUGCAUAGCAACGAGGGGGAGAGUAUUGUCUACGUACCCAACGCAGACCGACUACGGAAGCGAUGACACGACGUAGAGGAAGUAGUCGUACGUCUUCACGAUCCAACCGAUCAAGCACCGAAACUACGGCACCUCCGAGUUCGAGCACACGUUCAGCUCGAUGACGAUCCCCGGACUCCGAUCCAGCAAAGUGUCGGGGAAGAGUUCCGUCAGCACGACGGCGUGGUGACGAUCUUGAUGAACUACAGCAGCAGGGCUUCGCCUAAACUCCGCUACAGUAUUAUCGAGGAAUAUGGUGGCAGGGGGCACCGCACACGGCUAAGGAACAGAUCACGUGGAUCAACUUGUGUCAACUUGUGUGUUAUGGGGUGCCCCUGCCUCAGUAUAUAAAGGAGCCAAAGGGGGGAGGAGGCGCCGGCCAGGAGGAGGUGGCGCAGGAGGAGUCCUACUCCUACCGGGAGUAGGACUCCCCUCCAAUCCUAUUCCAACUAGGAAUCCCCAAAGGGGGAAAGAGGAGAAGGGUGGCCGGCCACCUCUCCUAGUCCUAAUAGGACUAGGGGAAGGGGGGAGGCGCGCAGCCCUGGUGGGCAGCCCUUUCACCUUUCCACUAAGGCCCAUGAAGGCCCAUAUGGCUCCCGGGGGGUUUCGGUAACCUCCCGGUAACCCGGUAAAAUCCCGAUUUCACCCGGAACACUUCCGAUGUCCAAACAUAGGCUUCCAAUAUAUCAAUCUUUAUGUCUCGACCAUUUCGAGACUCCUCGUCAUGUCCGUGAUCACAUCCGGGACUCCGAACAACCUUCGGUACAUCAAAAUGCAUAAACUCAUAAUAUAACUGUCAUCGUAACCUUAAGCGUGCGGACCCUACGGGUUCGAGAACAAUGUAGACAUGACCGAGACACGUCUCUGGUCAAUAACCAAUAGCGGGACCUGGAUGCCCAUAUUGGCUCCUACAUAUUCUACAAAGAUCUUUAUCGGUCAGACCGCAUAACAACAUAUGUUGUUCCCUUUGUCAUCGGUAUGUUACUUGCCCGAGAUUCGAUCAUCGGUAUCCAAUACCUAGUUCAAUCUCGUUACCAGCAAGUCUCUUUACUCGUUCCGUAAUACAUCAUCUCACAACUAACAUAUUAGUUGUAAUGCUUGCAAGGCUUAUGUGAUGUGUGUUACCGAGAGGGCCCAGAGAUACCUCUCCGACAAUCGGAGUGACAAAUCCUAAUCUCGAAAUACACCAACCCAACAUCGACCAUUGGAGACACCUGUAGUACUCCUUUAUAAUCACCCAGUUACGUUGUGACGUUUGGUAGUACCCAAAGUGUUCCUCCGGUAAACGGGAGUUGCAUAAUCUCAUAGUCAUAGGAACAUGUAUAAGUCAUGAAGAAAGCAAUAGCAACAUACUAAACGAUCAGGUGCUAAGCUAAUGGAAUGGGUCAUGUCAAUCAGAUCAUUCAACUAAUGAUGUGACCUCGUUAAUCAAAUAACAACUCAUUGUUCAUGGUCAGGAAACAUAACCAUCUUUGAUUAACGAGCUAGUCAAGUAGAGGCAUACUAGUGACACUCUGUUUGUCUAUGUAUUCACACAUGUAUUAUGUUUCCGGUUAAUACAAUUCUAGCAUGAAUAAUAAACAUUUAUCAUGAUAUAAGGAAAUAAAUAAUAACUUUAUUAUUGCCUCUAGGGCAUAUUUCCUUCACUGACANNNNNNNNNNACAUACGUUGUUCCCUUUGUCAUCGGUAUGUUACUUGCCCGAGAUUUGAUCGUCGGUAUCCAAUACCUAGUUCAAUCUCGUUACCGGCAAGUCUCUUUACUCGUUCCGUAAUACAUCAUCUCACAACUAACAUAUUAGUUGCAAUGCUUGCAAGGCUUAUGUGAUGUGUAUUACCGAGAGGGCCCAGAGAUACCUCUCCGACAAUCGGAGUGACAAAUCCUAAUCUCGAAAUACGCCAACCCAACAUCGACCAUUGGAGACACCUGUAGUACUCCUUUAUAAUCACCCAGUUACGUUGUGACGUUUGGUAGUACCCAAAGUGUUCCUCCGGUAAACGGAAGUUGCAUAAUCUCAUAGUCAUAGGAACAUGUAUAAGUCAUGAAGAAAGCAAUAGCAACAUACUAAACGAUCAGGUGCUAAGCUAAUGGAAUGGGUCAUGUCAAUCAGAUCAUUCAACUAAUGAUGUGACCUCGUUAAUCAAAUAACAACUCAUUGUUCAUGGUCAGGAAACAUAACCAUCUUUGAUUAACGAGCUAGUCAAGUAGAGGCAUACUAGUGACACUCUGUUUGUCUAUGUAUUCACACAUGUAUUAUGUUUCCGGUUAAUACAAUUCUAGCAUGAAUAAUAAACAUUUAUCAUGAUAUAAGGAAAUAAAUAAUAACUUUAUUAUUGCCUCUAGGGCAUAUUUCCUUCAGUCUCCCACUUGCACUAGAGUCAAUAAUCUAGUUCACAUCGCCAUGUGAUUUAACAGCAAUAGUUCACAUCACCAUGUGAUUAACACCCAUAGUUCACAUUGCUAUGUGACCAANNNNNNNNNNCCAACCCAACAUCGACCAUUGGAGACACCUGUAGUACUCCUUUAUAAUCACCCAGUUACGUUGUGACGUUUGGUAGUACCCAAAGUGUUCCUCCGGUAAACGGGAGUUGCAUAAUCUCAUAGUCAUAGGAACAUGUAUAAGUCAUGAAGAAAGCAAUAGCAACAUACUAAACGAUCAGGUGCUAAGCUAAUGGAAUGGGUCAUGUCAAUCAGAUCAUUCAACUAAUGAUGUGACCUCGUUAAUCAAAUAACAACUCAUUGUUCAUGGUCAGGAAACAUAACCAUCUUUGAUUAACGAGCUAGUCAAGUAGAGGCAUACUAGUGACACUCUGUUUGUCUAUGUAUUCACACAUGUAUUAUGUUUCCGGUUAAUACAAUUCUAGCAUGAAUAAUAAACAUUUAUCAUGAUAUAAGGAAAUAAAUAAUAACUUUAUUAUUGCCUCUAGGGCAUAUUUCCUUCACUGACAUGCAUAUUAAUGGGAGACACUAACUGAAAUGUUCUCUGAUGAAGGUUGAAAUGGGCCGGCCUUUUACCUUUCGCGCGUCUGGUUGAGUCUAUCCCGGGUGAGAAACGCAUCGCCAUCGACGGGUCCUUGUUGAGCUGCUUAGUGGACCGUUGGAGGCCAGAGACCCACACGUUUCACUUCCGAUGAGGAGAGAUGGCUCCUACUCUAGAGGAUGUGUCACUUUUGCUCGUACUACCAUUGGCAGGUCAUGCCAUAGGACCGUUGGACGCACCGGCUGGUUGGGAGCGAGCCCUUACACAACGUUUUCAUGGUGUUUUUCCGGAUGCUCCGGAUCCGGUAUGGGAGCAUCACGGACCUAAGUAUGAGUGGUUGCUCAAUUUCCGGGUAAUUUCCCCAACCUCUUUGAAGGAAAUAUGCCCUAGAGGCAAUAAUAAAGUUAUUAUUUAUUUCCUUAUAAUCAUGAUAAAUGUUUAUUAUUCAUGCUAGAAGUGUAUUUACCGGAAACAUAAUACAUGUGUGAAUACAUAGACAAACAAAGUGUCACUAGUAUGCCUCUACUUAACUAGCUCGUUAAUCAAAGAUGGUUAUGUUUCCUAACCAUGAACAAUGAGUUGUUAUUUGAUUAACGAGGUCACAUCAUUAGCAGAAUGAUCUGAUUGACAUGACCCAUUCCAUUAGCUUAGCACCCGAUCGUUUAGUAUGUUGCUAUUGCUUUAUCCAUGACUUAUACAUAUUCCUAUGACUAUGAGAUUAUGCAACUCCCGUUUGCCGGAGGAACACUUUGGGUACUACCAAACGUCACAACGUAACUGGGUGAUUAUAAAGGAGUACUACAGGUGUCUCCAAUGGUAGAUGUUGGGUUGGCGUAUUUCGAGAUUAGGACUUGUCACUCCGAUCGUCGGAGAGGUAUCUCUGGGCCCUCUCGGUAAUGCACAUCACUUAAGCCUUGCAAGCAUGGCAACUAAUGAGUUAGUUGCGGGAUGAUGGAUUACGGAACGAGUAAAGAGACUUGCCGGUAACGAGAUUGAACUAAGUAUUGGAUACUGACGAUCGAAUCUCGGGCAAGUAACAUACCGAUGACAAAGGGAACAACGUAUGUUGUUAUGCGGUCUGACCGAUAAAGAUCUUCGUAGAAUAUGUAGGAACCAAUAUGGGCAUCCAGGUCCCGCUAUUGGUUAUUGACCGGAGACGUGUCUCGGUCAUGUCUACAUUGUUCUCGAACCGUAGGGUCCGCACGCUUAACGUUACGAUGACAGUUAUUAUGAGUUUAUGCAUUUUGAUGUACCGAAGGUUGUUCGGAGUCCCGGAUGUGAUCACGGACAUGACGAGGAGUCUCGAAAUGGUCGAGACGUAAAGAUUGAUAUAUUGGAAGCCUAUGUUUGGACAUCGGAAGUGUUCCGGGUGAAAUCGGGAUUUUACCGGAAUACCGGGAGGGUUACCGGAACCCCCCGGGAGCCAAAUGGGCCAACAUGGGCCUUGGUGGAAAGGUGAAAGGGCUGCCCCAUGGGCUGCGCGCUUCCCCCCCUUUCCCUAGUCCUAUUAGGACUAGGGAAGGUGGCCGGCCAACCCCUCUCUCUUUCCCCACUUGGGGAGUCCUAUUUGGAAUAGGAUUGGAGGGGAGUCCUCCCGGCGGGAGUAGGACUCCUCCUAUGGCUGCCGCACCCCUCCCCCUUUGCCCCUUUAUAUACGGGGGCAGGGGGCACCUCUUCACACGCAAUUGAUCAUUGAGAUCGUUCCUUAGCCGUGUGCGGUGCCCCCUGCCACCAUAUUCUACCUCGGUCAUAUUGUUGCAGUGCUUAGGCGAAGCCCUGCGUCGGUAGUACAUCAAGAUCGUCACCACGCCGUCGUGCUGACGGAACUCUUCCUCGACGCUUUGUUGGAUCGGAGCCCGAGGAUCGUCAUCGAGCUGAACGUGUGCUAAGAACUCGGAGGUGCCGGAGUAACGGUGCUUGGAUCGGUCGGAUCGAGAAGAAGACGUAUGACUACUUCCUCUACGUUGUGUCAACGCUUCCGUUGCGAUCUACAAGGGUACGUAGAUCACACUCUCCCCUCGUUGCUAUGCAUCACCAUGAUCUUGCAUGUGCGUAGGAAAUUUUUUGAAAUUACUACGUUCCCCAACAGUGGCAUCCGAGCCUAGGUUUUAUGGUUUGAUGUUAUUUGCACGAGUAGAACACAAGUGAGUUGUGGACGAUACAAGUCAUACUGCCUACCAGCAUGUCAUACUUUGGUUCGGCGGUAUUGUUGGACGAGACGACCUGGACCAACCUUACGCGUACGCUUACGCGAGACCGGUUCCCUCGACGUGCUUUGCACAUAGAUGGCUUGCGGGCGACUGUCUCUCCAACUUUAGUUGAACCAAGUGUGGCUACGCCCGGUCCUUGAGAAGGUUAAAACGGAGUCUAUUUGACAAACUAUCGUUGUUGUUUUUGAUGCGUAGGUGAGAUAAGUUCUUACUUAAGCCCGUAGCAGCCACGUAAAACUUGCAACAACAAAGUAGAGGACGUCUAACUUGUUUUUGCAGGGCAUGUUGUGAUGUGAUAUGGUCAAGGCAUGAUGCUAAAUUUUUUUGUAUGAGAUGAUCAUGUUUUGUAACCGAGUUAUCGGCAACUGGCUGGAGCCAUAUGGUUGUCGCUUUAUUGUAUGCAAUGCAAUCGCAAUGUAAUGCUUUACUUUAUUACUAAACGAUAGUGAUAGUCGUGGAAGCAUAAGAUUGGCGAGACGACAACGAUGCUAUGACGGAGAUCAAGGUGUCACGCCGGUGACGAUGGUGAUCAUGACGGUGCUUCGGAGAUGGAGAUCACAGGCACAAGAUGAUGAUGGCCAUAUCAUAUCACUUAUAUUGAUUGCAUGUGAUGUUUAUCUUUUAUGCAUCUUAUCUUGCUUUGAUUGACGGUAGCAUUAUAAGAUGAUCUCUCACUAAAUUAUCAAGAAGUGUUCUCCCUGAGUAUGCACCGUUGCGAAAGUUCUUCGUGCUGAGACACCACGUGAUGAUCGGGUGUGAUAGGCUCUACGUUCAAAUACAACGGGUGCAAAACAGUUGCACACGCGGAAUACUCAGGUUAUACUUGACGAGCCAAGCAUAUACAGAUAUGGCCUCGGAACACGGAGACCGAAAGGUCGAGCGUGAAUCAUAUAGUGGAUAUGAUCAACAUAACGAUGUUCACCAUUGAAAACUACUCCAUCUCACGUGAUGAUCGGACAUGGUUUGGUUGAUUUGGAUCACGUGAUCACUUAGAUGACUAGAGAGAUGUCUGUCUAAGUGGGAGUUCUUAAGUAAUAUGAUUAAUUGAACUUAAAUUUAUCAUGAACUUAGUCCUGGUAGUAUUUUGCAAAUUAUGUUGUAGAUCAAUAGCUUGCAUUGUUGCUUUCAUAUGUUUAUUUUGAUAUGUUCCUAGAGAAAAUUGUGUUGAAAAUGUUAGUAGCAAUGAUGCGGAUUGGAUCCGUGAUCUGAGGUUUAUCCUCAUUGCUGCACAGAAGAAUUAUGUCCUUAAUGCACCGCUAGGUGACAGACCUAUUGCAGGAGCAGAUGUAGACGUUAUGAACAUUUAGCUAAGCUCAAUAUGAUGACUACUUGAUAGUUUAGUGCACCAUGCUUAACGGCUUAGAAUCGGGACUUCAAAGACGUUUUUGAACGUCAUGGACCAUAUAAGAUGUUCCAGGAGUUGAAGUUAAUAUUUCAAGAAAAUACCCGAGUUGAGAGAUAUGAAGUCUCCAACAAGUUCUAUAGCUUAAAGAUGGAGGAGAAUCGCUCAACUAGUGAGCAUGUGCUCAGAUUGUCUGGGUACUUCAAUCGCUUGAAUCAAGUGGGAGUUAAUCUUCCAGAUAAGAUAGUGAUUGACAGAAUUCUCUAGUCACCAUCACUAAGUUACUAGAACUUUGUGAUGAACUAUAAUAUGCAAGGGAUGACGAAAGUUAUUCCUGAGCUCUUCGCGAUGUUGAGAUUGGCGAAGGUAGAAAUCAAAAAAAAAGAGAGCAUCAAGUGUUGAUGGUUAACAAGAUCACUAGUUUCAAGAAAAAAGGCAAAGGGAAAAGAAGGGGAACUUCAAGAAGAACGGCAAGCAAGUUGCUGCUCAAGUGAAGAAACCCAAGUCUGGUCCUAAGCCUGAGACUAAGUGCUUCUACUGCAAAGAGACUAGUCACUGGAAGAGGUACUACCCCAAGUGAUUGGCGGAUAAGAAGGAUGGCAAAGUGAACAUAAGUGUAUUUGAUAUACAUGUUAUUGAUGUGUACGUUACUAGUGUUUAUAGCAACCCCUCAGUAUUUGAUACUAGUUCAGUUGCUAAGAUUAGUAACUCGAAACGGGAGUUGCAGAAUAAACAGAGACUAGUUAAGGGUGAAGUGACGAUGUGUGUUGGAAAUAGUUCCAAGAUUGAUAUGAUCAUCAUCGCACACUCCCUAUACUUUCGGGAUUAGUGUUAAACCUAAAUAAGUGUUAUUUGGUGUUUGCGUUGAGCAUGAAUAUGAUUUGAUCAUGUUUAUUGCAAUACGGUUAUUCAUGUAAGUUAGAGAAUAAUUGUUGUUCUGUUUUCAUGAAUAAAACCUUCUAUGGUCAUACACCCAAUGAAAAUGGUUUGUUGGAUCUCGAUCGUGUGAUACACACAUUCAUAAUAUUGAAGCCAAAAGAUGCAAAGUUAAUAAUGAUAGUGCAACUUAUUUGUGGCACUGCCGUUUGGGUCAUAUCGGUGUAAAGCGCAUGAAUAAACUCCAUAAAGAUGGAUUUUCAGAAUCACUUGGUUAUGAAUCAUUUGAUGCUUGCGAACCGUGCCUUUUGGGCAAGAUGACUAAAACUCCGUUCUUCGAAACAAUGGAACGAGCUACUGACUUAUUGGAAAUAAUACAUACUGAUGUAUGCAGACCAAUGAGUAUGAAGGCUCGUGGCAAGUUUCGUUAUUUUCUGACCUUCACAAGAUGAUUUGAGCAGAUAUGGGUAUAUCUACUUGAUGAAACAUAAGUCUGAAAUAGUUGAAAGGUUCAAAGAAUUUCAGAGUGAAGUGGAAAAUCAUCGUAACAAGAAAAUAAAGUUUCUGCGAUCUGAUCAUGGAGAUGAAUAUUUGAGUUACGAGUUUGGUCUUCAAUUAAAACAAUGUGGAAAAGUUUCACAGCUCACGCCACCUGGAACACCACAACAUUAUGGUGUGUCCGAACGUCGUAACCACACUUUAUUUGAUAUAGUGUGAUCUAUGAUGUCUCUUACUGAUUUACCAAUAUUGUUUUGGGGUUAUGCAUUAGAGACAGCUGCAUUCACAUUAAAAGGGCACCAUCUAAAUCCGUUGAGACGACAACAUAUGAACUGUGGUUUAGCAAGAAAACCAAGUUGUCGUUUCUUAAAGUUUGGGGCUGCGAUGCUUAUGUGAAAAAGUUUCAUCCUGAUAAGCUCGAACCCAAAUCGAAGAAGUGCAUCUUCAUAGAAUACACAAAGGAAAUAGUUGGGUACACCUUCUAUCACAGAUCUGAAGGCAAGAUAUUCGUUGCUAAAAAUGGAUCCUUUCUAGAGAAGGAGUUUCUCUCGAAAGAAGUGAGUGGGAGGAAAGUAGAACUUGAUGAGGUAAAUGUACCUGUUCUCUUAUUGGAAAGUAGUUCAUCACAGAAAUCAGUUCCUGUGACAAAUACACCAAUUAGUGAGGAAGCUAAUGAUAUUGAUCAUGAAACUUCAGAUCAAGUUACUACAGAACCUCGUAGGUCUUCCAGAGUAAGAUCCGCACCAAAGUGGUGUAGUAAUCAUGUUCUGGAAGUCAUGUUACUAGACCAUGAUGAACCUAUGAACUAUGAGGAAGCGAUGAUGAGCCCAGAUUCCGUGAAAUGGCUCGAGGCCAUAAAAUCUGAGAUAUGAUCCAUGUAUGAGAACAAAGUAUGGACUUUGAUUGACUUGCUCGAUGAUCAGCAAGCCAUGUUAAAUAAAUGGAUCUUCAAGAGGAAGACGGACAAUGAUAGUAGUAUUACUAUCUACCAAGCUCGACUUGUUGCGAAAGGUUUUCAACAAGUUCAAGGUGUUGAAUACGAUGAGAUUUUCUCACUCGUAUCGAUGCUUAAGUCUGUCUGAAUCAUGUUAGCAAUUGCCACAUUUUAUGAAAUCUGGCAAAUGGAUGUCAAAACGGCAUUCCUUAAUGGAUUUAUUAAAGAAGAGUUGUAUAUGAUGCAACCAGAAGGUUUUGUCAAUCCUAAAGGUGCUAACAAAAUGUGCAAGCUCCAGCGAUCCAUCUAUGGACUGGUGCAAGCAUCUCGGAGUUGGAAUAUACGCUUUGAUAAGUUGAUCAAAGCAUAUAGUUUUAUAUGGACUUACGAUGAAGCCUGUAUUUACAAUAAAGUGAGUGGGAGCACUACAGCCUUUCUGAUUAGUAUAUGUGAGUGACAUAUUGUUGAUCAGAAAUGAUGUAGAAUUUUUCUGCAAAGCAUAAAGGAGUGUUUUAAAGAAGUUCUUUAAAAAGAAAAGACCUCAGGAAAAGCUACUUACAUAUUGAGCAUCAAGAUCUAUUGAGAUAGAUCAAGACGCUUGAUAAGAUUUUCAAUGAGUACAUACUUUGGCAAGAUUUUGAAAUAGUUCAAAACGGAACAGUCAAAGAAAGAGUUCUUGCCUGUGUUGCAAAGGUAUGAAAUUGAGUAAGACUCAAAUCCCGACCACAGCAGAAAAUAGAAAAAGAAUGAAAAGUCAUUCCCUAUGCCUCAGUCAUAGGUUCUAUAAAGUAUGCUAUGCUAUGUACCAGACCUAUUGUAUACCUUGCUCUGAAUUUGGCAAGGGAGUACAAUAGUGACCUAGGAGUAGAUCACUGGACAUUCUUGACCAAUGUCCAGUGAUCUACUCCUAGGUCACUAGUCCUAUUAGGACUAGGGAAGGUGGCCGGCCAACCCCUCUCUCUUUCCCCACUUGGGGAGUCCUAUUUGGAAUAGGAUUGGAGGGGAGUCCUACUCCCGGCGGGAGUAGGACUCCUCCUAUGGCUGCUGCACCCCUCCCCCUUUGCCCCUUUAUAUACGGGGGCAGGGGGCACCUCUUCACACGCAAUUGAUCAUUGAGAUCGUUCCUUAGCCGUGUGCGGUGCCCCCUGCCACCAUAUUCUACCUCGGUCAUAUUGUUGCAGUGCUUAGGCGAAGCCCUGCGUCGGUAGUACAUCAAGAUCGUCACCACGCCGUCGUGCUGACGGAACUCUUCCUCGACGCUUUGCUGGAUCGGAGCCCGAGGAUCGUCAUCGAGCUGAACGUGUGCUAAGAACUCGGAGGUGCCGGAGUAACGGUGCUUGGAUCGGUCGGAUCGAGAAGAAGACGUACGACUACUUCCUCUACGUUGUGUCAACGCUUCCGUUGCGAUCUACAAGGGUACGUAGAUCACACUCUCCCCUCGUUGCUAUGCAUCACCAUGAUCUUGCGUGUGCGUAGGAAUUUUUUUGAAAUUACUACGUUCCCCAACACUCUUAUCUUCAAGUUAUCGUGCAUAUGGUUUUACAGAAAAUAACCGCGGCUAACUAAAACUUUCUCUUUGCUUAAUGCAGAUCCAAAACUUCCGGGCGCCGUUGACUGCGGAACAGAUCACUCGGAGCCUGGAGGCCUACUUAAUGUGGCUUUUCGGCAAGGUGAUGUUCACAGAGAACCAUGUCACCACUAUUAGCGCGCUCUACAUACCUAUGGCACUCGAGAUAGUGAGCGCUCAGACGGCGGAUCAGAUCAGACAGAGGAGUUGGGGUUCGGCGGUCUUAGCGGCUACAUACCGAGGUAUGUGCAACGGUUGCCAGCUUACAUCGAGAAAGCCAGCCCUUCUUGGAUGCCCUCUAUUCCUACAACUACGGUCGUGGGAGAGGUUCUCUAUAGGGCGACCAGAUGUACGUGUUCGUGAGCCUAUAGACGCCAUGUUUGAUGUUGAUGGCAUCGAUAUGCCUACUUUCGGUCUGUGUUGGACACGUCGCGAGGUAUGCACCGUGUUAUAGUUUAAUGCAACUUUUUUCUGCACAAGAGAUAGUUCGAUGCUAGCGGCUACUAACUCUUGUUUUCUGCAGAGAUGCUUUGCUAGUGAUUAGACCAGGAAGGCAUACACAACAUUGAACGAGCAGUUCGAUGCGUACACCGGGGUCAUUUGGCAGCCCUACAUGGAAGCAGCCAUAGAAGCGAGAUACCCUGGUGGUCUGUCUAUGCUAUGCACAAGGGACCGAGAUUACUGGAUGACAAAAUCAAAGAUCAUCUUCGAUGUCUUCGUCGAGGAGAUGGCACAACAGAGGGUUAUGAGGCAAUUUGGUCUUCUGCAGUUGGAGCUGCCUCCCCCUAUAGAGAACCCGGUGCCAGCACACAUCCACAGGUAUUAACCAGUUUUUCAAUAUUGCAUUAUCUUUCAUAGUACUCCAUUCGAAGCUUUAGGUAAUUGUUGAACACACACCACAAUUUUAGGACGACAAGGAAGGGCAUGACCAGGACAACUGCUGACUGGCUAGUUAGACUAGAGCCGUAUGUUAUAGAAUGGGAGACAACAAACACACAUCUAUGGCACGAGAAUCACAAUUUUGAUCUCAAUGAAUUCAAUCUCUAUUUGCGGUGCUACAUGACCGGAACACGGUUAUGCAUCGUUGAGCACUCCCACCCAGAGGAGAUACCGGAUCCUACACCGUCGGAUAUGUACCCGAGCUAUGACACUUCGGGCUCUAGGCAGUACGCGGUAAGAUAUAUUUUCUUUAAGUAAUGUUGUCACAUACUUUGACGUGCAAGAGACAUACAUUAUUAAUCGUCAUGGAAAUUUGCAGGCUACCUUGACACACGAACUCUACGAGGAUGUGACCACCUUUGGACGAUCACUGUCGUCUGGACCUCUUCUUCAACACCGUCUAGUGCUACAGCCCUUCUUGGAAUGAAUUCAGAACAAGAUACGGACUGUGUACGAGGCUAACACGUGCACCCGGAGAACCGACGUUGUUCAGCACCAGCAGCAGUAGCCGCGUCACUCCAUGCACCGACAUCAACCACGUCCACGUCUAGCACAUCAGCCGACAACCAGGCCACCCCGUCCUGACCAAUCUGGCAGUUCAACGUGGCAGCAACCACAUCACUGUAGUCCCACGUCGAGCUUCGUGUUUUCUCCACAGCCACAGCAGCAUGGUCCCUCGUCAAGCUUCGUGUUUUCCCCACAGCCACAACAACACGGUCCCUCGCCGGGCUUCGUGUUUGAGCCAGAGCAGCCGUCACAACCAGCAGGUAAGUGUCUUCAUUUUUAUUGUUUUCAAUAUUAAUUGAGGCGACCUCAUUCUUCAUGACUAUACGUUCCAUCGUGCAGGAUCCUACGGAUAUUAUGCGUCCAUGUCAGCAUCACAUGAUACGUGGGGGAGUGAUCAACAUUCCGAGGAGAACAUACAUGCUCAGAUGUCGCAGCACACCCAGUGGAUGAACAUGUAUUCGACUCCUCCACCAGGCCCCACACAGGAUACACAGCAUGGCCAGAGAGAGUCUGAAAUUCCUCCUCGUAACAUUAGGCCACCUAACAGGUUGGGAUGGUCGCCGCUUCCAGAUCCGCCUCCCCGCCAGGCCAGACGUCGUCACUGACGCUUCCAUCUGUCAGUAGAGACAUGACCAUCUACUUAUGGACGAGACUUAUGUCUAUUGAAUGUAUGAGACAAAUAACUAUGUAAUUAUGUAUGAGACAUAUGCCUACUCUAUUUUAGUACUCUGUUAUCCGAACUACAACAUCAUAUUUAGAUAGAACACAAUGCACGCAACAAGACAGUAUAAACAACUAGAUAGAACUACAUCUGAAUUAACGGUACGUAUGACUAAACUUACAACAUACAUCAUAAAAACUACAUGAAGUCAUCAUCGUCAUCCUCCGUCGAUGCAGAACUCUUGCCCUUCGAGGAUGUAGAACUCUUACCCUUGGAUGAUGCAGAACUCUUGCCCUUCGAGGAUGCAGUACUCUUGCCCUUGGACGAUGCAAAACUCUUGCUCUUUGACGAUGCAGAACCCGGAAGCGGCGGCAUGAAGAUAUCAUCUUCGUCCUCGCUCUCCUUAGUCCAUAAAAAUGGGUGCUUUUCUGCAGUCCUUCUGAAAGUUUCACUCUUCGGCUCCACUACCUUCUUCCACCUUGCAUGCAACCUAAGAAGUUCUAUACGUACCUCCUCAUAGGUCCUUUCAGGCCACCGAGACAUAUGUAAUUCGUGAGCCAACUCAUUCAUUAUGGUGUCACUACCGGUGAGUUCGUCCCAUGGAACCAUCCUAUUGUCCAUCCAGAAAUCGGUAGAUAGCCUCAGAAGAGUCCUGCUCAUCUCAGGGUGAAAACUACGAUCAAAAGGAUAAUGGGACAUCUCAACUACACUACACUGGAAUGCUUAUCCUCCUCUGUCUGAAGGGGGUUUUAUAGGUAGGGAUGAGAAAAUGGCGGGAAAGAACUACUGUGAUAUGGCGGGAAACGAUUGGCGGGAAACGGGUGGCGGAAAAGAGUUGGCGCGAACAUAUGGCGGGAAAUGGGUGGCGGGAAAGAGUUGGCGCGAACAUAUGGCGGGAAACAGGUGGCGGGAAAGAGUUGGCGCGAACAUNNNNNNNNNNNNNNNNNNNNNNNNNNNNNNNNNNNNNNNNNNNNNNNNNNNNNNNNNNNNNNNNNNNNNNNNNNNNNNNNNNNNNNNNNNNNNNNNNNNNNNNNNNNNNNNNNNNNNNNNNNNNNNNNNNNNNNNNNNNNNNNNNNNNNNNNNNNNNNNNNNNUAUAGCGGGAAACGGGUGGCGGGAAAGAGUUGGCGCGAACAUAUGGCGGGAAACGGGUGGCGGGAAAGAGUUGGCGCGAACAUAUGGCGGGAAAAUAUUGCGAGGAAAGGGUUGCGCGAAAUACGUCAUAGUUUAUAAAAAAAUCCAGGGAUCGUUCGGGACAAAAAUGGUGGCAUGCACCGGUCGGCCCAUAGCAGGCCAAUUAGUCCCUGUCGGCCCAUAGCGGGCCAAUUAGUCCCUGUCGGCCCACAGCAGGCCAAUUAGUCCCUGUCGGUCCACUACUGGCCGAGUGGACCUGAACUGGUGGCCGACAAGCCAAUCGGCCAGCAGCAAGCUGAUAGGAUCUCAGUCGGCCUGCUGUGGGCCGACUAGGUCUACUCGGCCUGCUGCGGGCCGACGGUGUAUUAUUUUUGAAAAUUAUUUUUUGGGCGUAAUAUUUGUGCAAAUUAAUAAAAAAAAUGUAUUAUUUUAAAAAAAUAGCCUCAAUUAUAGCAGCAACAAAGGCCACCAUGGUCCGGUGUGCAGUGGCCUUUUUUGAAUUCAAAAAAUGCGCAAUGAUCAAUGCAUGGCUGGUCGGAUAAAGUGUCUCAUUCACAACUUUUAAAUUUGAUACACAUCGUAGGGAAGGGGAGUUGGUUUUGGAUCUAUCCACAACAAAAUAUAGCAAACUUAGAAUAUAUAAAAUACUUAAGUUACUUGGGUUAGUUUGAAUUACAUACGUAAAGGUAUGUGCGCUUACACAAAGUGCGCAUAAAUAAAUCCCAAAAACAAGCAGAAAGAUUGAUUAGAUAGAUAAAUGGUUGUACCUGCAUGACAUGAGAAUAGAGUAGACAUCAUCACAAGAGCUACCAAGCAUAGAGCUCUUGUGUUGCUCUUGGUAAGUCCCAUAAGAAGUGGCUUGUUACUUAUUUCUUGUAUGUAUGUUUGUUCUUGUAGUUUGUAUUUUCUACAUAUGCCCUAUGUGUUGGUGUUUAUAUAACCAUGGCCAGACCAUGAAGGGUCAGUCCCCCCCCUUUCUAUUUUUGGCUGGAGAUAAUUAGUAUCUAAAUAAACCAUUGUAUAUCCUAUGGAUAAAUUGCCAUUAAACUUUUUAUUGAAUUCUAACCUUAAAAUAUAUUAGCAUUCUGAAAUGACAUAUAUAGAAAACAUUAAAAUGUAUCUUUCUUUUGUAGGGUACACUAAAAUGUAUCUUAGAGGUAAGAGCGGAUCCAGCCCAGCUGGCCACUCGGGCCCCCUCUGNNNNNNNNNNNNNNNNNNNNNNNNNNNNNNNNNNNNNNNNNNNNNNNNNNNNNNNNNNNNNNNNNNNNNNNNNNNNNNNNNNNNNNNNNNNNNNNNNNNNNNNNNNNNNNNNNNNNNNNNNNNNNNNNNNNNNNNNNNNNNNNNNNNNNNNNNNNNNNNNNNNNNNNNNNNNNNNNNNNNNNNNNNNNNNNNNNNNNNNNNNNNNNNNNNNNNNNGGCAACACAAAUGGACUGCUAUUUAAUCCUAAUGAUUGGUGAUUAGAAUUAACUUGUGUUAAAAGUAAUCUGAAAAUACAUUGUCUAUAAUCACUUGUUUCAUGAUAUUGAGAACUUUUUAAAUCUCUAUCUUGAGAUUUGAAAAAUUGAAAAUGAUAAAACUAAUUAUUUAUAGGAGAAGAGAUACUAUGAAUAAUAUGUUUUUUAGGAGAACAAGUAGGGAAAUUUAUUUUUGUAUUUCAUAAAAGGGGUGUCAUUAUAGAAAAAGAGAAAUAUAAAAACUUAAAUGACAAAAUAUUACUGCAACAACAACUGUAGCACAUGCAUAUAAACGCAUUAUCAAAAAACUCAAUACCUAGUAUAAAAGUCAACUACACUUAUUUCUCCUAGCCUAGUUAGUAAUCCAAUGCAAAACUCAGUAGUAUGUUCUCAAAUAUGAAUACAAAUUACUAACUGGGAGAGUAACUCUCACAGUUGCAUGGAAAAUCCAUCCUACCACUCGGAGGUAGUUACCCCAUAUGUCUUAUAUACUACCAUGUGAUACUAUAUAUACUACUUUAUCAUUAUAAAUAUGUUCAUAUAUUAUAUAUAACAUAUUUUAAAGUGAGUUACAUGAAAAAAUCGCAAGUUGGCUCAUGGUUUUUAUUAUAUUUAUGAAAUACAUAUAUAUUUGUACGUAAAAAAGAACAUACUCAAAAUACGAUGCAUACUACCUGAAAAGUAGUAUAUAUAAUACCUAAAUAUUCUUAUAUACUACAUACUACGCGUACAUACUCUCCGUUUUGAUAGAUACCACGUAUAACAUACAGAACUGAAGUGGUGGUAACUACCACCGGUGGUAGAUAAAAUUUGUCCUAUAUAUAUAUUUUGCAUUCUAAAAUAUGUGUUUUGGCUUUCAAACAAACAAUGUGCAUUAUAAAGCUUGUCUAAUGACAUGUCGAUGAACCUUGUUUCAUGGUAAUCAUGUCAUUACAAAGUCAUGUAUGUGCAUGAAAUUCAACACAUAUUGAAUUAUAAUUUAUACCCCUUAUAUGCUCCACUAGGGCCCCUAGGACGCCCCCAGGCACCUUUUUUAGCACCGGCGGGUAAAAAACGUCCCAGUCAGGCCCCCAAGACGUCGUUUUGCGCCGGAUUUUGCAAAAGUUAGCGUCGGCACGCCCACCCCGCACCAAGCCCGCCGGGGGCAGCUGGGGACGCCGGCAUUAGCUUUUUGCAUGCGCUGCCCCACUUGCCAGCCUCUCUCUCCCCCUCUCUCUUCUCCAGGCCCACCCACGUGCAGCACACUCCCUCUCUCCUCUCCACGCCCACACUCCCUCUCUCCCCGGUGACUUCUACUCUCCAUGUACUACGGGCGGGCGAAGCCGGAGCUCGCAGUGCGUGGCCGGGGCUGGCGAGGCCGGGGCGGGCGCUGGCCCUCGCCUCGCGAGGCGGGCCGUGGCCGGAGCAGGCAAGGCCGGGACGGGCGAGGCCGGGUAAAAGGAUCGAUAUGGUUGACUAGAGGGGGGUGAACAGGCAACUACACAUUUUUAACUUUUCUUUACCAAAUUAAACUUUGCAUCAAAAUAGGUUGUCUAGAUGUGCAACUAGGUGAGCAACCUAUAUGAUGCAAUAACAACAAGCAUACAAGCAAGCAAGAGAAGUAACACUAAAGAGCUUGCACAAGUAAAGGUGAGAGAUAACCAAGAGUGGAUUCGGUGAAGACGAGGAUGUGUUACCGAAGUUCCUUUCUUUUGAGGGGAAGUACGUCUCUGUUAGAGCGGUGUGGAGGCACAAUGCUCCCCAAGAAGCCACUAGGGCCACCGUAUUCUCCUCACGCCCUCACACAAUGUGAGAUGCCAUGAUUCCACUAUUGGUGCCCUUGAAGGCGGCAACCGGACCAUUACAAACAAGGUCGGGGCAAUCUCCACAACUUAAUCGGAGGCUACCAACAAUACCAUGAAGCUUCACCACAAUGGACUAUGGCUCCGUGGUGACCUCAACCGUCUAGGGUGCUCAAACACCCAAGAGUAACAAGAUCCGCUAGGGAUGAGUGAGGGAAUCAAAAAUCCCUUGGUGGAAGUGUAGAUCAGGGCCUUCUCAACCACUCCCGAGCAAAUCAACAAGUUUGAUUGGCUAGAGAGAUAGAUCGGGCGAAAAUGGAGCUUGGAGCAUUAAUGGAGCUUGGGCAUUAAUGGAGCUUGAGGGGGAAGAGGUAGGUCAAAAGGGAAUAAAGGGACUCCUUUUUAUAGUGGGGGCAACAAUCCAACCGUUGCCCCACCAACCAGCCCCGCACAGGGCGGUAGUACCGCUUAAGGGGGGCGGUACUACCGCUGAGCUAGCGGUACUGCUGCUCUAGCUAGCGGUAGUGCCGCGCAGAGAAGAGCAGUAGGGAUCUGGACCCAGCGCGGUACUGCCGCGGUGGUAACGGUGGUACUACUGCUCCGAAAUGGUACUACCGCCUCUACUGCCGCAACUAGUGCCGCAAAACCCGACACGAGAAAAAGAGCCCUCGAGUCGAGGCGGUAGGAGCCAGACAGCCCAGCGGUAGUACAGCUGCGGGGUCACCGGUGGUACUACCGCUGCGGAGCGGUACUGCCGCCUGUGACCCUUCGGCGGUACUACCGCUGGUAGUGCGGUACUACCGCUGGGACACAGACAAGAGAGAGAGAAGAUCUCUCCGUCGAGGCUGAGGACGAGGCGGUGGUGCCAGGCAGGCUAGCGGUAGUACUGCUGUGAAGUCACCGGCGGUACUAGCGCUGCGGAGCGGUACUGCCGCUUGUGACUCCUCAACGGUACUACCGCUGGGUUGUGCGGUACUACCGCUGGAACCCAGACAGGACACAGAAAGAGAAGAGAUCUCUCCAAUGAAGUGGAAGAGCUCUGAGGGUGAGAAGCUGAUGUGUACGUGUUGAUUCCACCCAAGCAAUACCCCAGCGGACCCCCUCUUGAUAGUACGGUGCCCUCUACGCAACUAGUCCACAGAAAGAGAAACGAAAGAGCUACACUGUCUUGAAUGACACUCCGAAGGGAAGAAAACGUCUCGUGCCAAGGAUGAAUCUGUGAACUACUCAAAGCACAUGAUUAGUCCGCAAACAUGUUGUCAUCAAUCACCAAAACUACCUCGAGAGAGAUAUGCCUCAACAAUCUCCCCCUUUUUGGUGGAUUGAUGACAACUAGGGAUUUGCACAAGGAAAAGAUAUAAAAGUAAGAAAACUAAGAACUACAAAAUAUAGACGGGCUCCCCCUGAAUGUGUGCACCUAGUUAGAGGAGCAUUUGGAAAGCAAGACACACACAUCCGGAUCAACACUCCCCCUAUAUUUUAUAGUCCAACAAUUCUAAGAACAUGAUAUAUGAGAGAAGAGUAUAAAAUAGGACAAGCAUGCAACUCAUAAUAUACUACAGUACUGAAUAGACAUAAGUAAUAAGGUAGCGAUAGGGAGCAUAUGUCUCACACCAUAUGUCUAGAACUUAGGUCUCACAGGCACCAAACCAAACCAAACAAAGACAACAAGAGAACACACAAGAAAACACAAGACGACACAAAGACACACUUGAAGCACGACAACAACACAAAUCCCUACACUCUCUCCCCCUUUGGCAUCGAGACACCAAAAGGGCAAAGAGCAACGCUACGACUCCAGGUGAUGGCAAGCUGAGGAUCUCGAACAUCACAUCUUAGCAUGAUCGUCUGCAUCUCCGUCGUUGGUCGGAAACUGCUCGGCGUCGGAGCCGGUCCAAGGGCAAUGCUGAUGAAUCCAUUCCUCCUCUUCAGUGAUCUGUCUCUCAGAACCACUGGCAACUCUCGCUCCCAGGUGACGCAUGAGCUCCUUGUGGCUCACCCUGGCAUGCUUCUCUGCCACAUGAGUCAUGUACUGACCAUGAGACUCCAUGCAGAAAAGCUUCUUCAUCUUGCGUUUAAGCUUCUUCGCCCACGAAGGUUCUACACUAGAGGGCCCAAAGUCCUCCUCGUGAUCAUCAGUGGCAGCCCCACCCUCGGUCUCCAUGGCAGCAGCAGCAGCAGCAGACGGACCCCUGAGUUUAGGCACUGGGGUGCCCCAAUUGUCCUUCUUCCUCAGACACUUGAUCUCAUGGGAAACCAAGUCUCCAGUUUCCAGCAUCACUCUGGGAUAGAUCUGUGCCCAGGCCCUCUCAAUGAGCCUCAUGAUGAAUGGACCAUAUAUCGGGCACUUGCGCUCAGAAACGGUAGAGAGAAGUUCAGACCACAUAACAUGAGAAAUAUCCAGGCUCUCUCUAGUGUUUACUUCCUUCUCAUGUUGACAGAAAAGAAGCAUGUCCACGAGAUAUGAGUGGACCAUAUCCAGAUUCCCGAUGCAAGGGGAGAGAGUCUCACGAAAGACACGAUGAAGAAUGUCCAGAUACGGAGACAGCUCAUAGGUUUCCUUCUUAGUCACUGGGUGAACCUUCACAGUGCAGUAGGGCCAAAGGGCUUGCUUGUGAGUGGAUGUAGUAUUGCGGUGAGGGCGGAAACCUACUGAAGUCUCAAGCCCGCGAUCUUCCACAUCAAGUAACUCCAUGAAAGCCUUCCACUUGACGAAAAGCAACUUGCCAUUGGUCAUCCAAGUCAGAGUCCUGUUGGCAUCCGUUCCAAGAUGAACGGUAGCAAAGAAUUGAGCCACCAAAUCUGCAUCGAAAUCCUUGUUGAACUGCAUGAUCCUGAGAAUGUUCAGCUGAGUGCACAUCUGAAGGGCUUCGCCAAAGUACUCAGGGUCCUUCUCCAUGGCAUCAGUGUCGAUUGAGUGAACAUCAACAUAGAGAUUCUUCUUGGCCUUGAUCACAUCAAAAUAGAUAGCAGACUGAAAUCGGUUUCAGAAUAGGCAGUUGACCAAAGUGGGAUCUUGGUCCACCUCAUAGGGAUUGCGGCGACGCCUUUCCCGAAACUCCUUGGCAGUCAUCUCAGUCACAGUCUUUCCUUUUGACUUGUUGGCGGAUCUCUUCGACUGCUGAGGAGGUGGAGGAGCACUUGCAGAUGCACCUGCUGGUGGCGGUUGGGUGCUAGAGGAACCACCGGCUGGCUCAGAGGUGCGGUAGCGCUUUGACGUUGCACGCCCGAGGUUGAUAUGGCGAGCUUGAUGCUCAGAAUGUUCAUCACCUGGAGCCAAACACAAGAACAUGCAAAACAACUAGAAAGAACGAGCAUAAGCCAACAAACACAACAAAAGGAUCAAGGUAAGGCAGGUACAUGAUGGAACUUGGCACGACGCUCCAAAUCCUCCUCGGGGGUGAGACGAGGAGUGAUCACUUGAUUAUCUUGAGCGUCGUCUUGAGCUUGUUCUUGUUCUUGAACUUGCUCGGAGGAGAGAACUUGACCUUGGGCAUCACUUGAUGUGUCAACACUGUCUUGAGCAUGAUCUUGCCCUUGGUCAUGUUCUUGAGGACGAGGGCCUUCAUGUUGUUCUUCGGAAGCGUGUGGGCUUUGGGUUGGUGAUGACUCCACUUGAGUGGAGCAUUAUCCUUCUCCUUCGGCCACAAGGGGUUCCUCAAUGGGUAGGAUAAAACCAACACCCAUUCUUCUUAUGGCUUGAGGAGGAAUUUCAUCACCUACAUCACAAGUGCCACUUUGCUCCACUUGGGAGCCGUUAUUCUCAUCAAACUCCACGUUACAUGUCUCCUCAAUAAGUCCCGUGGAUUUAUUGAGGACACGGUAAGCAUGAGAGUUUGUAGCAUAACCAACAAAUAUGCCCUCAUAAGCUCUAGCCUCAAAUUUAGACAACCGAACACCUUUCUUGAGAAUGAAACACUUACACUCGAACACCCGAAAGUACUUGAGGUUGGGCUUGUUACCGGUGAGUAUCUCAUAUGGAGUCUUGUUCAAGCCCUUGCAGAGGUAGAGCUGAUUGGAUGCAUGACACGCGGUGUUGAUGGCUUCGGCCCAAAAGUUGUACGGAGACUUGAACUCCGCCAUCAUGGUCCUUGCCGCAUCCAUCAACGUCCGGUUCUUCCUCUCCACAACACCGUUUUGUUGAGGGGUGUAAGGUGCGGAAUAUUGAUGCUUGAUCCCCUCAUCACUAAGAAACUCAUCCAAGGUGUAGUUCUUGAACUCGGUGUCAUUGUCACUUCUUAUUGUCAAGAUCUUUGCAUCGUGUUGACGUUGUGCUUCAUUUGCAAAGUCAAUGACGGUUUGUUGGGUCUCGCUCUACCUCUUAAAGAAAUACACCCAUGUGUAUCUUGAGUAGUCAUCCACAAUCACCAAGCAAUACUUCCUACCUCCAAGACUAUCGAAGGAUGGAGGCCCAAAGAGAUCCAUGUGAAGGAGCUCCAAAGGCCUCUUUGAGUAAAUGAUAGUGAGCCUUCUCAUGUAGCUUUCCUUCGAUACAAGCACUGCAAGCACGAUCUUUAGCAAAACUAACAUUCGUUAGUCCACGGACAUGGUCCCCCUUGAGAAGACUUUGCAAAGAUCUCAUAUUGACAUGGGCUAGACGGCGAUGCCAAAGCCAUCCCACAUCAACUUUAGCCAUUAGGCAUGUCGCGGUCUUAGUGGGUCGCUCCGAAAAGUUAAUCACAUAUAGACCGUUCUCAACAUGCCCAACAAAGGCUACUUAAGAGUCUUGCUCCACAAAAGGGCCACGGUAUAGAUAUCAAAUAAAGUGUCAAAGCCCAUGAUUGCAAGUUGACGAACGGAAAGUAAAUUGUAUGCAAGGGACUCAACAAGCAUGACCUUCUCGAUCGUGAGAUCAUGAGAGAUGACCACCUUGCCAAGUCCCAAUACCUUAGAGGAUGAGGCGUCACCCCACUCAACAUUGGUGGGCAUAGAUGGAAUCUUGUGCACAUCCACCACCAAGUCCUUGCUUCCGGUCAUAUGAUUUGUAGCUCCGCUAUCAAGCAACCAUGAUCCCCCACCAGAAGCAAACACCCACAAGAGAUUAAUGCUUGGUUUUAGGUACCCAUUUUGUAAUGGGUCCUUUGAUGUUAGUAACAAGGGUCUUUGGAACCCAAAUAGACCAUUCAAUGUAUUCAUGAGGAGAACCAACAAAUUUGGCAUAGACAUGCCCAUCACUAGCACGGCAUAACACAUAUGAAGGAUUAAAGUCGCCGGCUUUGGUGCGAGGAGUGGCAUUGCCCUUUUUGACAACGCCACCCUUCUCAUUGUUCUUCUUCUUCUCCUCAGAGGCACUCUCUCCCUCCUUCACAAAGGUUUGCAUGAGAGGAUUAGGUCGUUUGGUCUUGUCAUUCUUCUUCUUGUUCUUGAAGUCGGGCACGUACCCAACCCCUUCCUUGGCCAUAACUCCCUUUUGGUUGAUCAAGAGGUCGUUGAGGUUCUUCUUGCCUUGUAUGCAAGUCGCAAGACCUCUCUCAAGUUGCCCCUUUAGCUUAGCGUUCUCCUCAAUGAGAUGCACAUGCUCACAACACGGGUUAGUAGCAUUUGCAUUAUCAAUUAACAUCAUACGAGGAAAAGUGGCUUUUUCCUUGGUUAGCUUUACUUGCAGUUGAUCAUGAGACUCUUUGAGGCUAGCAUGAGCACCCUUCAAGACCUUGUGAGCCUUGUCAAGUAGAUCAAACUCCUCUUUGAGUCUAGCAAGAUCAACCUCAAGUUCGGCCUUCUCGGAGUUUAGCACAUGAGAAACAAUGAGGACAUGAUCAUAAUCUUUCUUUAACUUAGCAUGAUCAAUGUUGUGUGACUCCUCAAGAGCCAAACGAAGACCACGCUCUUCCUCAAGAGCAUUGGAAAGAUCCGAAAUCUCAUCGGCAUAGUCACGACUAUGCUCUUCCAUCUUAGUGAUGGUGUCUUCGUGAGCCUCGAUCAUGUCAUUGGCUUCACCAAGUUGUUCCAAGAGAGCAACAAAGUGCUUCUUGGAUUUUCCCUUAAGUUUGUCCAUAAAGGCCUCAAACUCAUUUGUCUCCACAUUCGCUCCCUCAAGUUCAUUAAUGCUUUCCGUCGGAGAAGGAUGAUUAAUGAUGGUAGUUUUGAUGUUGGGGGUUACCUUGUUGGUGGCUUUAGCCAUGAGGCAUUUGGCGGUGAUGCUCUCAUUGGAUGAGUCGAAGAGGGACACCCGUGGAGUCGUAGCAAUGGCAACGGAGGACAUGGCAACCGACUCAUCACCUUCAUCAUCGUCGUCAUCCUCAUUGUACUCUUCUUGUACCACCAAUGUCUUGGGACGAGUCUUCUUGGUGAAGUUGCUCUUGUUGGGGAACGACUUGGCCUUGUCCUUUCAGAUGAGCCUGCCACCAUUGUCUUCCCUCUUCUCAUACGGGCACUCCGCAACAAAAUGACUCACGUUGCCACAAUUGUAGCAAGUCCUUACACGUUGCUUGCUCUUCGUGCCACUUGAGUUGUUCUUGUUAAAGUUUGGCCUCGAGUUUUUCUUGCUCCAAAAUUGCCUUGAAGCGAGUGCCAUGUGUUCAUGAUAUGCAUACUUCGUAUCCUCGGGGUUGCUCACCUCUUCUUCCUCUUCUUCUUCUUCAACGAAGAGCUUGGCCUUCAAUGCAAGGUUGGGCUUCUUUGCCCUUUGAGAACAAAGCACCGCAUUGUCGGCGGUCUUGUCCAAAAUGUUCAUGGCCACAAACUCAUCCAACACUUCGCUUGAGGUCAAAGUGUGGAAGUCCGGUCUUUGACGAAUGACGGAGGACAUGGCCUUGUGGUAGGGCAUCAUUGCCUUGAGGAAUUUGUGCCUGAUCCAAUUGUCAUCCGUGUCCUUGCUCCCGUGAUCUCGGAGUGAGACUGCGAGUUUGGUUACCCUCUGAUAAAGCUCACGAGGUUCUUCAUCUUCUUUCAUUGCAAACUCAUCGGCCUCAUCUUGCACCACUUCAUAGUUGGAGCGUUGAAUGCUUGCGCUUCCCCGGUAGAGGGAGACAACACAAAUCCAUGCGUCUUUGGCCAAGGCGAAGGGCCGAAGAUGAGGUAGGUCUUCGAGUGGGAUUGCAUCUUGAAUGAUGAAGAGAGCAUUCUCAUUGAGUUGAUUAUCCGUGGCUUCUCGAGGAGUGAAGUUGCUUGGAUCAUGCGGAUAGAAACCUUCUUCAAUGAUUCUCCAAAGGUUAGUGUUCACAUGAUUUAAAUGAUGUUUAAAGCGGUAAACCCAAGAAUCAAAUCCUCAUUUUUCACAAUCUUAGGGGGAGGACCGGCAUGAUUCAAAUGAUUGGAAGGAACCGGUCCACCAUAAACAAGUGGUGGUUCCACAUGAGCAAAGAUGCCGGUGCCAUUUUUACCACUAGAAGAAGGAGCCUUUUCACUACUAGCUUCCCCCUUGUCGGAGAUAGCAUCCGUCACCUUGUCGGUGGGGUCACCCACUUUCAACGGUGCGGUGGAUAGUUUAAGCCCCUCAAGAAAUUUAGUAAACAUGCUUUCAACCUCGGUCGUCAUGGAGGUUUUCAAUGUCUCCAAGGCCACAUUGAACUCCUCACGAGAGACCGAGGUUCCCCCAUCGCCCGUAGACGAGGUCGGAUUCACACCGGAGUGUUCCUCCACACCGUCUACGGUAUCAACCAUACUCUUUGGACGGUAAAGUCCUUAAUAAAGAGACGAGGCUCUGAUACCAAUUAAAAGGAUCGAUAUGGUUGACUAGAGGGGGGUGAAUAGGCAUACCAAUUUUUAACUUCUCUUUACCAAAUUAAACUUUGCAUCAAAGUAUGUUGUCUAGAUGUGCAACUAGGUGAGCAACCUAUAUGAUGCAAUAACAACAAGCAAGCAAGAGAAGUAACACUAAAGAGCUUGCACAAGUAAAGGUGAGAGAUAACCAAGAGUGGAUCCGGUGAAGACGAGGAUGUGUUACCGAAGUUCCUUCCUUUUGAGGGGAAGUACGUCUCCGUUAGAGCGGUGUGGAGGCACAAUGCUCCCCAAGAAGCCACUAGGGCCACCGUAUUCUCCUCACGCCCUCACACAAUGCGAGAUGCCGUGAUUCCACUAUUGGUGCCCUUGAAGGCGGCAACCGGACCUUUACAAACAAGGUUGGGGCAAUCUCCACAACUUAAUCGGAGGCCCCCAACAAUACCACGAAGCUUCACCACAAUGGACUAUGGCUCCGUGGUGACCUCAACCGUCUAGGGUGCUCAAACACCGAAGAGUAACAAGAUCCGCUAGGGAUGAGUGGGGGAAUCGAAAAUCCCUUGGUGGAAGUGUAGAUCGGGGCCUUCUCAACCACUCCCAAGCAAAUCAACAAGUUUGAUUGGCUAGAGAGAUAGAUCGGGCGAAAAUGGAGCUUGGAGCAUAAUGGAGCUUGAGCAUUAAUGGAGCUUGAGGGGGAAGAGGUAGGUCAAAAGGGAAGAAGGGGACCCCCUUUUAUAGUAGGGGUAACAAUCCAACCGUUGCCCCACCAACCAGCCCCGCACAGGGCGGUAGUACCGCUAAAGGGGGGCGGUACUACCGCCGAGCCAGCGGUACUGCCGCUCCAGCUAGCGGUACUACCGCGCAGAGAAGAGCGGCAGGGAUCUAGACCCAGCGCGGUACUACCGCAGUGGUAAGGGCGGUACUACCGCGGUGAUAAGGGCGGUACUACCGCUCCAAAACGGUACUACCGCCUCUACUGCUGCAACUAGUGCUGCAAAACCCGACACGAGAAAAAGAGCCCUCGAGUCGAGGCGGUAGGAGCCAGACAGCCCAACGGUAGUACAGCUGCGGGGUCACCGGCGGUACUACUGCUGCGGAGCGGUACUGCCGCCUGUGACCCUUCGGCGGUACUACCACUGGUAGUGCGGUACUACCGCUGGGACACAGAAAAGAGAGAGAGAUCUCUCCGUUGAGGCUGAGGACGAGGCGGUGGUGCCAGGCAGGCCAGUGGUAGUACUGCUGUGGAGUCACCGGCGGUACUACCGCUGCGGAGCGGUACUGCCACUUGUGGCUCCUCAAUGAUACUACCACUAGGUUGCGCGGUACUACCGCUGGAACCCAAACAGGACACAGAAAGAGAAGAGAUCUCUCUCCAAUGAAGUGGAAGAGCUCUGAGGGUGAGAAGCUGAUGUGUACGUGUUGAUUUCACCCAAGCAAUACCCCAGCGGACCCCCUCUUGAUAGUACGGUGCACUCUACGCAACUAGUCCACCGAAAGAGAAACGAAAGAGCUACACCGUCUUGAAUGACACUCCAAAGGGAAGAAAACGUCUCGUGCCAAGGAUGAAUCUGUGAACUACUCAAAGCACAUGAUUAGUCUGCAAACAUGUUGUCAUCAAUCACCAAAACUACCUCGAGAGAGAUAUGCCUCAACACCGGGGCUGGCGAGGCCGAAGCGGGCAAGGCCGGGGUGGAGGAAGAGCGCGCGUGGCCGGGGCAGAGGUGGAGUGGCGCGGAGCGGCCGGGGCAGAGGCGGAGCGUGCG